UCAAUUUUCGUGAUUUUCAGACUUCUACGCCGCAAGUUGCGACGACCUGUACUAACUUAACCCGUUUCCUCAAUUUCUCCUCGCACGCUCGUCGUAUCGCCGAACCGAGCGCACCAACGCGUUCGUUGACCUACAAAUUAGGUUAAAAUGAGAUCAAACCAAAGCUUCGAUCUCAAAAUUUCAAAACCCUAAGUAUAGGUCCUUACACAAUGUUAUCUUCCCGAAACUAGUCCCUAACAUGGAUAAUCAUGGGGGAAAACACUAUAGAAGCUCCUAGAUGCUUCAACUAGAAACAAACAACAAAACCCUAACUCAAAUCCAUAGAAACUCACCUUGGAGUCUUAAGUUUUCCUUCAAAGCUCUUGCGCAAGCUAGCCUUCACCUUGAAAAGCUUCUUUUCCAAGCUUUUCACCUCCCAAGCCCUCCUUGCUCCAAGCUCUAGAGAGAAGGAGAGAGAGAAAGAGAGUUUUAGAGAGAGAGAGAGGGAUGCCCUAGAUAUUAGAAUGAGAGCAAAUGAGCUCUCCCUCAAUACCAUUCACUUCUAUACACCCCUCUCAUGUGACAUUUACACAUAAACCCCUCAACCUUUCAUUUUUCCAAACAGCCCUCACUGGGCAUUUUUCGCAUAUGGGGACCGGUCUCUCCUCGCAGGGACCGGUCCCCGAGAGCACACCUCUCAGGACUUAGCCAAAUUUCUAUUUUUUUAGGGACUGACUACGCGCACGGGGACCGAUCUCUCCACCAGGGACCGGUUCCCGAGAGCAACAUUUUCACAACUUAGCCAUUUCCCAACCUUUUCACCAACAGGGACCUGUCUCUCCCCACAGGGAUCGGUUCCCGUAGCCUGGUUUUCCAGGACUUAGCCGAUUCUCCAGCUUUCUGGGCAGGCUACGCAUACAGGGACCGGUCUCUUCUCCAGGGACCGGUUGCCGAGAGUCCAAAAUCUGGGACUUAGCCAGAUUUUGCAAUCUCACUCUCUCGGGUCCCUUUACACUACAUGUAGGUUCCAAUGCACUUAGAACCCAUACCAACUCGUUCCACUCCGCGUUCCGCACAUUUCGACGGAACUCGACACGACUUACGGGGAAGUGAUAUAUUACAGAAGUGGUUGGUCGACCGGAGCUUGGCCAAAGGCGGUCGGGGAGCACACGGCGCACGAGUUUGAGGCAGGAGGGGCGGCUGGGAGUCAGCUGGAGCUAGGGCUAGGGUUUUCCUCCAUGAAAACCCUAGUUAGCUCAAAAUAUAUAAGGUGACAACUUGCAGUUUAGCCCACCAAAGAUCGAUAUUUUCAGCUGAGUCCCUCACAGCGCGAGCAAAUUGCACAGAUAUAUAGGGUGUUUUGCAAAAUUACCGUUUCACCGCUAAUGACCCCUCCUCGAUCAACGCGCGAUAUCAGGAGAUCCGCCCGUCGGAUUUUCGAUCGGAUCGGUACAUACAAUAUAGGGUGUUUUGCAAAAUUACCAUUUAAGAAGCCAUCUCCACUGAUUGGCCUCUCCGAAAAAUCAAAAUUACUAUUCACUUUAAGUGAUUAGUAAAGGUCGCGUAACUUCUCCAUUCUAACUCGUUUUCUUCUGAAACUUGACGAGUAUUUAUGUAAUUAAAUUGCAUACAAAAACAUCGUCAACAGAGAAUUUAGCAACACUGCCAAAUCUCAGUCCUCACAAAUAGCCAUUAUUAAGAGUUAAAUACAUUCAAAUUAAUUUUACUAAAGAUCACCAGAGGCUUCGACUAUCCUGAUUUGGCAAGGAUGAAAUAAGGCGAGCUCGGAGAUAUGUUUAAAAUUAAAAAUUUAAAAUUCGAAUAGAACCACACAAAGGGAAUUUGGAUGAAUAAAAAGUUCGAGAGAGAUUUUGGAAAGGGAAGAUAAUGCAUCACAAAAGUUACUCUGAUUAUCGCAACAGAGGAAUUAGAGAAAAGAAAGAAGUAUAUAAAGAAAAGAGUUCGGAGUCAUCACAUUUGACAUGUCCUUCAGCUGUAUCCUAAGAGCAGGUGUAACAUAAUUUAGUAGUCAUAAUUUAGAAUUCAUCGUCCUUGAACUAUCAUCUAACUUGACGACAAGUGUGUUGAUCCAGUCCGACCAUCGUCAGUCCACCUCAUACCUCAUCAACAAAUGCAUCUCCACAUUUUGUGCCUCUGCCAUGCACAAAUCCUUGUGACGAAAGUCGGCCCAAAUCGGUAACUUUUUGUUAGUUUGCUUUCGGUUCACUGGCCGAACCUUGAGAGGUCGUGUUGAGCUAAUUACACUGGGCCUAUUUGUUACUUGGGCCUUGCUAUUUGGGCUAUGUACUUUGGUGAAUAAAAAAUCUCCUAUUUCUAUGUUUUAUUAUUAUGUAUGUGGGCUCUCUAUUUGUUAGCCUUUGGAUCAUGGUUCUUUUGAUCUAAAGGCCCAUAUUGAUAGCUUCUCUGAAGAGCUAAAGUGAAAUAUUAGAAUAUUAGAGAGAAAAGAAGAGUGAGAAGUAGAGAGUGAGAAAAAAAGUGGGAGAAAAGAGAGGAAAUCCUAGAGGUUGGUUUUGAUCUUGGUUUUAUCAGGAAGGACGAGAAAUCUUUAUUAGUGAGAUGUGGUUUAUACUAUUUGGAUAGAGCUAGAGAUUGUUAGAGCUCUUUUUAUACCUUAGAGUUAAGGUGAUAUUUCUCUCAUUUGAAUCUAUCUUGUAAUCUUCAAGUUUGUAGUGAAAGCUUCUUUUGUAUUAUUCUCCCAUAAAUGUAGGCAUAGCUGAACCACGUAAAUCCUUGUAUUCUCAUGAUUUUGUUUAUUUUCUUAUUGCUCUUGUGAUUGGCUCUCCAUUAGAUGCUUGUAGAAAGUGGGUUGUGAAAUUGCCCACCAAGUGUUUGUGAAAUUACCAUCAAUAUUUUUCACCCUCAUUUUACACUAAUUGGUAUCAAAGCUUGAUUGCUAGCUAGUUAUCUAAGCAUUCAUUUGUGUUUAUUCACUUAUCUUUCAAAUGGAAAAGGCUAUAGAAUUUGAGAAGUUGAAUGAGAGCAACUGGCCUAUAAGAAAAUCAUGAUAGAGGAUUAUUUAGUUGCAAAAGAGCUUAAUUUACCAAUAUUGAUAAAAGGUGCAAAGUCCACUAGUAUGGAUAAUCAUGAAUGGGGUAUUCUUGACCAAAAUGUUUGGCGACAAUUAGGCCAUGCAUUUCUCCAUCGAUCUUGUUUGAUGUCUAUCAAUGCAAGACCGCUUUUGAGUUGUGGGAGACUUUGGAGCAAUUGUUUGCGCAACCUUUCGCUGUGAAAAAGAUGCAUGCAAUGAAGAGACUCUUUCUCUUGAAGAUGCAAGAGGGUUCUACUAUUCAUAAGCAUGUGAGUGAGUUUCAACUCUAUUGCGGCACAAUUGAAGUCUAUUAAAAUUAACCAUGAUGAAGAAGUCCUUUGUUUACUAUUUUUAAGUUCUUUACCUUCAAGUUUGGAUACUCUUGUUACUAUAGUGGCAAACGCAAAGGGAAACAAACUCAAGUGGACUGAUAUUGUUGCUUCAUUGUUGGAUGAGGAAACUCACAAAGCCACAAAUCAAUUGUCUAAUGAUUUGAGUCAAGCACUAAUUAUUGAUGAAAGAGAAAGGUCACCGAAGCGAGGCCAAUAUUCUAACACAAAGGGAAGGUCUUAAAGUAAAGGAAGAUCAAAAUCACAAGGUAGAAAGCUCACUUGUUGGCAUUGCAAGAAAACGGGCCAUGUGAGAAAGGAUUGUUAUGUUUUGAAAAAUAAGCAAAAGGAUAAAGGCAAGGAUGUCAAGAAGGAAGCUAACAACACUUUGGAUGGUAAAGAUGGAGUCACAUUAAGUGUUGCUUGCACAGUCUCUUCUUGUGCAAACACUUGGGUUUUGGAUUCUAGUGUUUCUUUUCAUAUAUGUUCGGACUGAUCUUAUUUUUCUACAUAUGUAAGGUGAUGAUUCAAAUUUGGUGGUUGGUACCGCAAGAAAAGGCGAAAAUAUGCAAGUUUAGCAUAAUUGGUUUGGUCAACUAAGUGAGUGCAAGUUUGGCAUAAUUGGCUUGGUCAACUAAGUGAGCAUGGUAUGAAGGUAUUACAAGAACAUAACCUUAUUCCUUCCUUUGAGCAUUCAUUUCUUGAUUUUUGUGAACAUUGCAUUAUGGGAAAACAACAUAGAUUUAACUUUAAAAUAAAUAAAAUGCAUAGAAAGGGGAGGUUAUUGGAAUUGCUUUAUUCCGAUGUUUGCAAUCUUUUCAAUAUUAAGUCACUUGGAGGUGCAUACUACUUUGUUUCUUUCUUAGAUGAUUAUUUUAGAAAGUGUUGAAUUUAUCCUUUGGCUUCAAAAGAUCAAUUUUUUCAAACUUUUUAGAACUUCAAAGGCUAUGUUGAAAAGGAAAGUGAACAUUUUAUUAAGUACUUGCAAACUGACAAUGGUCGUGAAUUUUGCUCUAGUGCCAUUGAUGAUUUUUGCUUUGAAAAUGGCAAAAGAGUGAAGACCGUUCCCUACACCCCUCAACAAAAUGGGAUUAGUGAAAUAAUGAACUGAACUAUGCAUUGUGGAGCAGAUUUGAAGUAUGUUGUCUCACUUCGGCCUACCAAAGUCUUUUUGGGCUGAAGCGGCAAAUACGGCCGCUUACUUGAUUAAUAGAUCACCUAGUGUUGCAUUAGACGUAGACAUUCUAGAAAUUAUACGGAGUGGCAAAGACAUUUUCUAUGGGCACUUGAGAAUAUUUGGGUGUGAAGCUUACAUUCAUAUUCCAAGAGAAAGUAGAACUGUUAGUGUAUAUAUUCAAAAAAAUAGAGGUUAGCCACAAAAUAAUAUAAAAAGUGUCAACGAGUCGAUCAAGCCGAGGCACAAAAAUCUCGCUCUCUUUAAUGAGAUUCAAGCCCUUUGCGGUUGGUAAAAGCUUUGAACCGAUGCAACAGAACAUUGACUUGUCCCACCAGGAUACAAUGGCUCGACCCUCGUCGUGUGGCUUCACCAACUCUGCAUAAGUGGAUGAGCCCAAAGCUCCACCAAAAGAACACCUUUUUUUGACCUUCUCUAUCUAUCACAAGAAUAGAAAUAACUUAUUAUUUUUCGUUGUUCUGUUGUGUUGUAGAGAAUAGAGAAGCCCUCUAUUUAUAGGCUUCAAAAGAGUAGGAGUUAUAGGUAGUAAACUUGUAAGGUAAUGGAUCCUCGUCGUGUUAAAUGACUUUUGGUCAAAAUGACCAAAGCGUGGCGAGAGAGAUGGUUGGACAUGGUCCAUACGACAUUCCAACAAUGUUGGAAGGGUUAAAGUUGAGUUCCAAGUGAGACUAAUGAGUUUUAGUAUUGUUCGGUACGAAAUGGAGCUAAAGCAUUGUCAAAACUGCAGUCUCGGCACUGCGUACCGAUACUGAGAAAGAGGUACCGGUACCAAGAAGGCAACCCGAGAAGGUUGCUCUCGGGUUUGGUUGCUGCCGAGCUGGGUACCGGUACUGGAGACCGCGUAUCGGUACUAGGGUACCCGCGUACCGAUACUCCAGCCCGUGUACCGGUACUCGGCAGUCUACGCAGAUGUCUGCUCUCGGGUUUGGUUGGCCACCCGGGGUACCGGUACUCAAUCCCGCGUAUCGGUACCCAGUGCUGCGAACAACAGACUUAGAACUGUUGCAAUUUUAGAUUGUUGGAGGGUCUAAAUUAGGGCUGUAAACAAGCCUAGCUAGAGCGAGCUGGAGCCAGCUCGAGCUCGGCUCGAACGUCUUCAAGGUCGGCUCGUGUUCGGCUCGAGCUUGUGACAAGCUCGAAAACUCCGGCUCGUGAUCGGCUCGCAACUUAAUCGAGCUAGCUCUUAUUCGGCUUGUUAGCGCUGUUGUCGAAGUUCGCUGCCGCUGCCGUUGUCGAAGUUUGCUGCCGCUGCUGUUGCCGUUGUCGAAGUUCGCUGCCGCUGCCGAAGUUCGCUGCCGGGGGUUUGCGAACGGCUAAGAAUCCGCUGUCGAGGGUGUGCGAACGGCAAAAGUGCGCUGCCGGCGAGCCGCCCACCGAGGGUGUGCAACAUGUGUGAAGUGAAGUGUGGCUGAGAGAGAGAGAGAGAGAGAGAGAGAGGGGGGGCAGAAGGCGGCUUGCUGUGUGAAGGGUGAAAAAGUUGGGAAAAGAGAACUAGGGUUAGAAAUAUAGAGAGUUAAAAGUUGAUGUAACAUUAUCCAUUAGAUUUUAAUCUAACGGUUGAAAUUAUAAAUGUAAAUAGGCCUCUUUUAUAGAUAAGUUGGGCUUUAUUGUUAAAUUGGGCUACAAACUAAAAAAUAAUAAUCUGGGCUACAAACUACAAAAUAAUAAUAUAUAUUAUAUAUUUAUAUGCAAAUAUAUUUAUAUAUUUAUAUAUAUGAAUAUAAUAUAUAUAUAUAUAUANNNNNNNNNNNNNNNNNNNNNNNNUUAGGUCGAGCGACAAGCGCUCGGUCGAGCACAAGUCGAGCUUUACUCGAGCUCUAGCCGAGCGAGCAAAUCAUUUGCUCGGCUUGUGGUCAACCUAAAAAGUCGAGCAAAUUAUUUGCUCGGCUUGUGCUCGAUCCCAGUCGAGCGAGCACAAGCCGAGCUGUUGUCGAGCUAAUAUAAAUAAAAUAUAAUUAUAUUAAAUAUAUAUAUAUAUAUAUAUAAUAUAGCCACCCUUAGUCUAAAUGCAAUUGUGUGAACAUAUAAAAGGACCCCAUCUCCCCCUUUCUUGUUCACAAGCUGAGAACACCCCUCAACUCCAUUUUUUCCCCUCUCUUUCUGUGGAAGCUCUUCUCCAAGGGUGCUUGGUGGAGAUUGGAGGAUAUUUGAAGGAGAUUUGAGGCUUUUUAAAGUGAAGAGCUCCCCUACAAGGUGGAGCUUGUGGUGUUCAUAGGCUAAGGUGAGGUUUCUUGCAAGAGCCAUGUUAGGGUUUGGUUUUAUACCCUAGAACACUUGGUUUUGAUCUUCUUACAUGAAGGAAAAUCUUGAGGAAACCAUGGAAUCACAUGAUGAACCCAUGUUGUUCAUGCUAUGGAAACUCUAGGGUUGAAAUUGGGGUUUUCAUAGAUAUGAGGUUUAUAGUUAAUUGACCAUAUGGAAACCUAAUUGAAGGUAAAACCGACACGGUGGGCAACUCAAACCGAAGUUCCUACGGGCGUGCGGCUAGUUCUUGGGAAAAAGUACCAUUUUGGCUUCGUUUGUGUUGGGUCGAGCUCGAACGGUGUUGUAAAAUCGCGAGGCUUGGUUUCUCGCCUCUUAGCAUCAAACCAAGGUAGGGGGUGCUAUCCAGAGCAAUCGAACUUCUUCCUAUGUCCAAGUUGUAUUGUUGAGCAUACAUUUUAUAUAUGAUAUCUUGCAUUAUAGGAUGUGUUCAGUAAUUGUAUUUCCAUCCCCUUGCAUGCUUCUAUGGUAGUAAUAGAAAUUGUGGGUUGAACACAUAAUCUAGCGGAUGCAUGAGGAUUGGGUUGUGACAUUGAAUCCUGUAGUGACAAGAACAAGUAGUGAACUUGGACAAUAUAUUUAUGUAAAUGAGUGGCAUGUAGGGGUGUAAUGUGGGCCGUGCCGGGCCGGCACGGCCCACAUUUUCCGGGUCGAACCGGGCUGGAGAGUGGCCCGGCACGGCACGUGGCUAAAUCCGGGCCGGGCCGUGCCGGGCCCGAACUCCCUACCAUCCGGCCCAGCACGGCCCCUGGGCCUGGAAGGCACGGGCCGUGCCGGGACGGGCCGUGCUCCGGGCCGCCUCCUUUUUUUUAUUUUUUUAAAAAUGUACGUAUAAUUUAAAAAAUAUAAACAAUAAAUUAUAUUUAUAUAAACUGAUAUUUUGAUUAAAAAAAAAAAGUUGAGAAGGGUUUUUGGUCCAAUGGACAAAAUUGCUUUGGUCCAUUGGACCAAAAUCACGCCUCCCAAGGUCUGCUAGGCAGACCUUAGGAGGAGCUCUCCUUGGGAGGAGGGCCAAGCCCUCCACCCAAGGAGAGCAAACCCCAGGGCCAAGGCAACUUUGCCUUGGGCCUGGGUUCCGGGCCGUGCUGGCCCGGCUGGCACGGCCCAAGCUCUCCUUGGGAGGAGGGCCAAGCCCUCCACCCAAGGAGAGCAAACCCCAGGGCCAAGGCAACUUUGCCUUGGGCCUGGGUUCCGGGCCGUGCCAGGCCGUCAGGCUUCAAAUGUAAGGCCCAACACGGCACGAAGUGCCUGCCGGGCCCGGCCCAGCCCGGGUGCUACAGUAGCCGUGCCGGGCCGGGCGGGCCACGUGCCGCCCGGCCCGUUUUACACCCCUAGUGGCAUGUGAACUAAUGUGGUAGAGGCACUUAAACAUGAUUGCAUAAACAAGUGGCAUAUGAUCUAGUGUAGUAGAGACACUUGCAAAACAUAUUGACAUGAAUGAGUGGCAUUUGAAUUUAGUGUAGUAGAAACACUAUGACAUGAACAUAAGGAUAGUUGAUUUCCCGAGUUGCCAAUAUAGUAUUUGAAUCUAGUGUGGCAGAAGCACUAUGACCCUUGUAGACAGGGUAUCCUCAGUAGACGAGAAUUGGAUCAUACUCAUUUAGUCUGUUUUCGCUUGGGGUGGUCGCUCCACACAAGCAGUGAGCUCCGGAGUCGUCAUACUAGGGGCAGAAGUAGUUGUCCCGCAGACGGUCUCGGUGUGCGAGCGCAGAUUCUCCUCACCUAUGAGAUUGAGAGUGAGUCGAGGGUUAAACCUUCGGGUUAGCCAAGUGGAUUGGGUAACAAAUAAAUGAAUGGCAUAGUAGAUCGUGCAUUCAUAUCAUGACAUGAAACAUAGAGACAUGUUAGUAGAGUCUCCUAGAUAUGUUCAUAUCUUUAUUUAUGAUAUUGUUGAAGUAUAGUAGCAUGAUAGUCGAAUUCAUAGCUAUGUAGAAUUAUCAUUCAUUAUACCAUGUUGAUUGAGGCAUAGUAGCAUGAUAGUAGAAUUCUUACUAUGCCAACAGUUUCUUUAUCAUAUCUAUCUAUCUAUCUACUCAUACUUGCUUAGACCUAGUGGGAAGAUCGGCGGAGUCGGCGGCCGAACCUACUGGGAACUAUUCGUAGUUCUCAUCCCACUUUGUUGCAGGGCCUAGUGAGGCCGGACUAGCGGUUGAUCGCGGUAAGGGCAUAGCGCCCUAGCUAGUAGCAGCUUUCCUAUUUGCAUUAGACUACUUUUUGUACAUGAGAGAUGUGAUGUAUAUUUGGUGAGGAUGCUUUUGGAGAGUUGUGGAUGUAUAUUGCCAUGAGAUGAAUAUGUAAAUCAAAGAUGUGUCCAUUUUGAAGAUGUAAACUCAAUAUGAAUGUGGAUGAAAAUGUAAUAGAUAGUUUACACUCUUUUGCUCUUGCUUGUAUCAUACUUGCAAUGAUUCAUGUAUGUGGUUAAAGUUUACCUGGGCAACUUGAUAUACAUGAUUGUUGUUAUUGAGCCUUGGGCGGACAGGGGAGGUUCUGUCCGCUCGGCGUCUGUUUGACGUACCCCAACCGACCAAAUUGGCAGUUACGGAGCGUGGCAAAACUUAAGUUGUAGGUUAAGGCUUUGGAGUUUACAAAAGUAAAUGUGCUAACGUAAACUCAUUCGAUGUAGGUACAGUAUAGGUUAAAAAAAACUUACAUUGAAUGCAAGUAAAUUUAAAGCAUAGGUUAUCAUUCUUGUAACUAUAAAUGUUAGAGUAUAGGUUAUGUCAUCUUCAUGCAAGGGUUAUAAAAUUUAAAAUUCACAUUUAAUAAUAAAAAUAUAACAACAUUCCCCCACUCGUUUUUAUUAUUAAAAAUAUGUAAGAGUUUGAUGGCCAAAGAGGAACCACUAUACAUAAUGAAGGUAUGCUCUACAUUGAACUUUUACUUAGUGAAACAGUAAUCUCUACUCCAGAGUCAAAGUGGUCUCAGACUUGAACUUUGAUUGCUUAGGGGAAAUAGAGAGUCACUGCUCACAUAUAACAAUCCAGAUGUAGACAUGAGCUUUAAUAGCUAGCACAUUACGGCCUUGUGCUGAUCCUGGUUUUCAUGAGCAUUUUUGAGAAUAAGCCCGUUCUCAUAGAAAACAGCCUCACUUCCAUGCUCACAUAGGUGAAAUCCGUCAAGGGUGCUCCUGUAAUUUUGACACCCUGCUCGUAAAAGGCACAGAUUUCAUUAAGAGUAAAAACUCAACCCUCUUUUCAUUACAGGAUGAAUGCACCCACACCAUAGGGAUAAGUAAAGAUAUGAUCAUAUAGAUCUAUAUAUUGUGCAUUCUUUACGACCACCAUAUGAUUUGUUUUUUUUUCAUUGAACCCAAUUUUCAGGAUCUCUGAUCAUCGGGUUGGGUAUCCUCAUACAUGGUUCAUAAUGUUAUGGGCUUCAACCCCAUCCCCCUCGAUGUGCUCCAGAUCCUUUCUCUUUCCAAGGCAUUGGUUAAUGUAUCUGCCAGAUUAUCAGUAGAUUUAAUAUAAUCUACACUGAUAAUACCAUUGUUCAUAUAUGAUCUCACAGUACUAUGUUUUCUUCUCACGGAUCUGGAUUUACCGUUAUAAUAACGAUUUCUUACUCUACCAAUAGCAGCAGUGCUAUUCAAUGUAUUAACACAGAUGGAACUGGUUUUCCCAUAAAUGGAAUCUCAGACAAUAAGUCUCUCAACCAACUAGCUUCCUCGCUAGUUGAAGCUAAGGCAAUUAGCUCGGCUUCCAUAGUUGAGUUAGCAAUGAUAGUUUGCUUUUUAGAUUUCCAACAUAUAGCACUACCUGUUAAAGUAAAAAUAUAACUAGUGGUAGAGAGAGAAUCACCUGAUAGGGUAUUCCAGUCAGCAUCACUGUAACCCUCAAUCACAGCAGAAUACUUUUCAUAAAACAAGACAUAAGUUUUGGUACCAACGAGAUAUCUCAUUACACGUUCCAUGGCAUGCCAAUGCUCUGUACCCGGCUUGUUUGUAAAUCUACUAAGUAUCCCUAUUGCGUACGCAAUAUCAGGUCUCGUACAAUCAGUCGCAAACCGCAAGCUCCCAAUCAUACUAGCAUAUCCCUUUUGAUUCAAAAUUUUAUUUUCACUUUUAAUAGAAAAUAAGUGAACACUCGAAUCAAAAGGUGUAGUCACAUGCUUGCAAUUAAGAAAGUUGUACUUUCUUAAAAUUGUCUCAACAUAAUGCGACUGAUCAAGAAAGAUCCCAUCUAGUGUUUUGGUAAUUUUUAUACCCAAAAUAAAGUUAACCUCACCAAGAUCCUUCAUUUCAAAAUAAUAAUUUAGCAUAAUUUUUUUCUCAUUUAUAAUAUUUAAGUUAGAGCCAAAAAUUAGCAAAUCAUCCACAUAAAGGCUAACAAUAACAUGCAAAUUUUCAAAAGUUUUGUAAUAGAUGCACUUAUCACACUCGUUUAAUUUAAAGUCAUUCUCAAUCAUGCAAGAACCAAAUUUUUCAUGCCACUGUCUAGGUGCCUGCCUUAAGCCAUAAAGGGAUUUAUUUAGCUUGCACACUUUAUUUUCUUGUCCAGACUCAAUGAACCCUUCAUGUUGGUCCAUAUAAAUUUCUUCAUCUAGGUCACCAUUCAGAAAGGUAAUCUUUACAUCCAUUUGAUGAAUUUGUAAGUCAUGAAUUGCAGCAAUAUCAAUCAGAACUCUGAUGUAUGUCACUCUAGUCACCAGAGAAAAGGUAUCAAAGAAGUCUAGAUCUUCUUAUUAUUUAUAACUUUUUGCGACAAGUCUUACUUUAUACUUGUCUACAUUCCCAUCCGGUUUCAAUUUCUUUUUGAGAACCUAUUUACAACCAAUUGUUAUAUAGUUUGGAGGUAAAUCCACCAAUUUCCAUAUUUUAUUAGAAAUUAGGGAUACCAUCUCAUCAGAUACAGCCUCUUUCUAAAAAAUUACAUCAUUUGAAGAUAAAUCUUCUUAUAAAGAAAGUGGAUUUUCUUCAAUAUUCAUAAUAACAUAAUCACUGCCAAAAAUUUUUUCAAUUCUGUUUCGCUUGCUUCUUCUUGGUUCAAAAAUAUUUUUUUUUCUUGAUUUUGCAAAAAGGAGUUUGAAGAACUUGAUUUAUUUGAAACACUUUUAAAUCCCCACUAUUUUUCAAUUUAUAAGGAAACUUUUCUUCAUAAAAAAUAGAAUCUUUUGAUUAAAAAAUCACAUUAUUUUCAAUGUCUAAAAAUCUAUACGCUGUACUGUUCAAAGCGUGUCACACCCCGAGCUCCGCCAAUUUGGUCGGAUUCGGGCACGCCAACAGACCGCCGAACAGACAGAGUUUCUCUUGUACGUUCUAGGCGUCACAAUCCAUACAAUACACGAGGUUCCAACCAGGAACAGUAUUCAAACACAGAUUGCAUAAGGUAUCGAAAACAUAAUUGCUAUGCUAUUACAAGUAUUCAUCUCAAAUUUUCAUUUUACAUUACAUUCAACUUCCAAAUACAAUCGAUAUUAUUACAAAUUAUUACAAGUCUGUUUCUUUUCAUUUCCACCCCUAAACUAGACCACUUCUGGGUACCACUAUCUCUGGUCAUAAUGGUAGGGCGCUAUCUACGGAGCUACGCCCUUUUCUCGCGCCGCCGCGCCGCUCGCGUUUGAACCUGAAAUUCCCCAAAACAACGUGGGAUGAGAACUAUCUCCAUAGUUCCCAGUGAGUACGGCCACCCAAGGGAGAAGCUCAAUCCACCAGAUCCAAAGGAGGCACUGCAAACAUGUUAGUCCAACAGAUAUCUAUAGAUAUUUUAUGCAAGUAUCAAAUACAUGCGUAUGCCUCAAGAUAUACAAUAUGUAAAUUAUGCAAUAAUGCAACUCAUGCAACAAGCUAACUAGAUUAUCUGGUUCUACUUUCUAUCUCGCAAUCCAUAGCUCAUAUCCAUCUAGCUUCUAAGGUUUCUACUACCGUAGAUCCAAGUUAACCACCCGACUCGGCCUUGAGUCAAUCAUCUACGGAAUACCGCAUAUAGCCAGGCUCGAGGUGAAGGACGUCUCACAUGAAUCUCAGCCUUAAAUCCACUCAACAGGGACGCACAUCCACUCAACUGGGAUGCCAACUGGGAUGCAAUUCUACUGAUAUGCUUGUCACCCAAUCAUUCCAGCUUACCCGAAGGUCUGGACCCCGUAGGUCCAGAUAGCACAAAAUUCAGCAUUUUAGCCUUUUGCCAAUUCUCGUCCGUUUUGCUUCGUUUUCACUCGUUGGGCUUCCGAUUCAUUUCUAAUCGUACCGAGACCCCCAAAACACGUUUUCGAGCGCGUUUAAACCAUCUUUUCAUCCACGCUUUGUCGGAUUUAGGCCAAAGUGCAAUCAAAGCCUUUCGGAUUCUGUUUUCGCGCCCGGCGCGUACCGAAAACACCUGAAUGCUCUCGAACUUCACCGGAACUGCUUUAACAACUCUUCGAGCAAGUUCCCACCGAAACUUCACAACUUUAGGAGUUCAGUAUAUCACAUUCGCCACCCCUUAAAAGAUGUUUUGUCCACGAAGCUCAAAUCCUACCUCAACUCGAUCACUCGAACAGUUGAGGGCACAAAUGCACUUUCCCACUCCGGAGCGGCCUUACGCUGAUUGGAACUGUCCAAAAGGCCCACUACGAAGGAUGUGAGACCAAACUCACACACAUUUACCAAGUGCAACAUCGAAAGUGCAUUACGCUUUCCGCAAGUCUCGGUGGCAGCGCAAGUAGACAUUCGACGACUCUACACGCUCCAACACCACUCGCAAUCUGGCACACUAAGGCCAUACCAUGCACUUCCUUCGAGAUCGGGACUACCCACCAUCCUCGUGGUGUGGAUCCAACAAGAACGCAUUAGUUAGUCGAAUGGUGCACCACCACGACACAAUACAUACGGUAGACCUCCUCAGAUUACGCAAGUGUUCACAAAGUGGUACUCUACCACUUUGGCUAUCCCUUCAAGGAAUACACUCCGAUUCGAUUACCGGCAUUGCUUAGAAGCAAUAUCAUGAGUGCAUCGCCCAAUCGCGAGUGCUCCAAUCACAACCGGAUCCUUGCUCUAUAGCGAGAUGGCACACCCCGGCACAUCUCAAUUUUCGAUCCAUUAGGGAGCAUUAGUCUCAAAUCCUGCGUGGCUAUCCAUGCUCCAAGUGUCUCCUAAAACCACUUUAUUUUCUUUUCCAAUUGCCACGGCCACACCAGUUCGUCCUUGCAACGAACUCACACGAGCACUCCGUUCAUGAAUCCAAGCCAAACUCCUCGAUAGAGUUAUCGGCCAAACCGCUUAUCUCGGGUUCCACAAGUGGACCAAAGGUCACCAACCCUACGUAGGCCUACCACCUAAACCUGUCUCAACAACACAUAGCGUCUCUCGCUCACACCCAAUCAUCACUGGGCGAAAUUCUCACUUGGGAAUUCGCACACACUCCAAUCAGGAGCAACCAAGACCCCAAACUACUACAAAUCCUCAGGUUGGAUCACAACUGCACUCUUGGUGCAUCAUCGAUUACACGAUCUAACACGUGGCAUUCCACGCACCCGGGUUCAAGCUCGGACUACCGCCCCGACCAAACCCCUGCCCUACCCGUAGGUACCAGGCCGCUGUCACACACAGCUGACUGCGCCUGUCCAUAAGGCCCCAGGCUCUGCAGUCCACGAAUGGUCCAGGCAUGGAUCGUCUUCAAGCAAUACCCGCAACCGUCGUCUCACACGACACACUCUACCGAGCUACACGUACCACUACCGACUCCUAAGCACCUAAAGCCAUUAACCCUACGAGUGAUCCAAUGCACGCACAACUAGCAAUACUCAAGUGCUACUGCCAACACACUCUCCCGGCUGAGUUAAACCCGCACUCCACGAGUAUCUACACUCGAGGGCUCUAUACGCCUCUACAGCGUUCCACACUAAGUCCAGCAUUAGGCAAUCUUGCCUAUGCAUACCGGCUACACGAGCACGACCCACCUACCUCAAUUCGAGGUACUAAUAGGCCCACGUGCCCGCACUUGGCCACUAACUAGCCGUUCUCUCAACAGUGAUUCCACUUUCACUGUUCGAUCUACCGGAACAACGUCCGAAAUUUUCAGACUGCCAAGAGAUCCUCAAGUACUAUGGCUCAACUCUCGCAAUCAAUUACUCACUUUGCUUUGAGAGUCAGUCCGCCAAUUCCAUCUCUUCCACAAGUCCCACCAUUAGACCAUAACCAGCAAUUCGCUAGUGUCAUCUAAUCCUCUACCUGCUCUAGUAGGCGCUACACUCUUGCAACGCAAGCAUGCCCGAGUAUCUAUACCUACCCGUCCACUUGGUCCCUACUAUACUAAUAUACAAUUAGUAGUAAUCGACCACAUGAUAAAUGCAUGCAAUGCACCAACUUUACAUCAUGCCAAAGCAUAUGCUUGCCUCAACUAAAUCAUACUUGCCACGACGUCGUCGGUAGCAGCAAGCUCCACAACCUAGGUCCCGUAUCCAUGGCCACUUGGCGCCCGCCGCGAACCCUCCGGUUAUAUCGUCCUUAACACCCGCUCUUCCGACCACACCGCAGGUGGCACACCUGCAGGCUGUCCCGGAGAGGAAAAGGCCAUCACUAGUGUCAAGGCCCAGCUAUCUCCAUGCGGACACUCGUCCCGCGCAUGGCCCGGUUGCCCACACCUGUAGCAUUUGCCCUCUCGCUGCUCACACUGUUGUGGGUAAUGAGGACCCCCACAAAUAACACAUCUUGCCGAGGAUCGAGUGUGGUAGAUCCCCGGGGCUCGGGAUCGCGAGUGCGAACACAUCGAAGUUUGUUAAGAACUUGACUGACCAGCGGAUCCACUUGUUGGCCGUCUCUUUCCCUUGUAAUAAGACUCGCGCUCGUCCCGCACAAAUGCAUUGCUUUGUUCUAUCCACAAGGCCCAAUCCAAAACUUCGGCAAAAGUCUGCAACUUAAGAUUGUGCACAGCUUUGAAAAUGUCCGGCCGAAGUCCCCACACAAAGCAAUCAGCUCGGUCUUUGUUAUCCCGCACCACGUUCGGGACACAAUUCACGAGACGGGAGAAUUCCCGCUCAUAUUCCCUAACCGAGCGGUCUCCUUGCCGCAGCUUCCGGAACCUCUCCUGAAGCUUUUUCUUUUCACUAUUGGAAAAAUAAGCAGAGAGUAUCAAUCCCCGAAACUCAUCCCAAGUCAUAGGAGGCAGAUUAGGCGAUCGGUUCUGCUUGACGCCUUUUCACCACACCUUCGCUGACUGUUGCAGACAAUACACGGCUAGGUGUACCUUGCCCCACUCCACAGUGUACAAAUCCUCAAAAAGAGUCUCCAUAGAGUCGAUCCACAACUACACGGUCCACGGAUCUACAUCCUUUCCAUCAAAGGUAGGCGGAUCAAACAUCUUGAAGGUCAUGAGGGCCGCCAAAGCUCGCUCCCUCUCCACCUCUACCUCUGAAGUUCUAGAAGCCGGAUUGCCCGACCCCGACGGAAACACCUCCGCCACGACUCCCAGCCAUACUCGACGGGCCGCAACUGGUGCGGUCACCAGCUGAUCAACCAUUUCUUGGAGUUUUUUAAUUUGCUCCUCCUGGCGCAUGGCAGCUUCCUGCUGUCGCUGCACCAAAUCGGCCUAUUGCCUCAUCACUCCCACGAGUGUGGCCAACUGGUCGCGAAGUUCCAAGUCUCAGCUCACCUCGGAUUGCUCAGGGACACCACUUGUCCCAUCCCGCGCCGAUCUGGAUGAUGAUCGCCUGCGCGGUGCCAUCACUUCCUGAAACACGACAACUUAGUCAAUCUUCGACCCUCUGGGUCGAACACGAGACAAUUAACACCUACUCAAAUCGGGCGAAAGUCACGCAAGGGCGUCUAUUCUCAUCUCUCGGCUUCAUGUUGUGUGCACCCAACAUGAACACCCUCGGUUGAGAAUACACCACACCUUGAGUCUACCUCUAACAUCCGUUUUAGAGGUUUACAACACAACCCAAUCCAUUAAUCUUUCGCCGCAAGUCACAAGUCCUCAUCUCUCACGAGCCUUAACCUCUAUGGUUUACUAUCCUAGGGUCUCCUAGGUCCGUCUAAACCAUUUCUAUUAUUCUCUUUAUGUUCUGAUACCACUCAAUCUGUCACGCCCCGAGCUCCGCCAAUUUGAUCAAAUUCAGGCACGCCAACAGACCGCCAAACAGACAGAGUUUUCCCUGUACGUUUUAGGCGUCACAAUCCAUACAAUACACGAGGUUCCAACCAGGAACAGUAUUCAAACACAGAUUGCAUAAGGAAGGUAUCGAAAACAUAAUUGCUAUGCUAUUACAAGCAUUCAUCUCAAAUUUUUAUUUUACAUUACAUUCAACUUCCAAAUACAAUCGACAUUAUUACAAAUUAUUACAAGUUUGUUUCUUUUCAUUUCCACCCCUAAGCUAGACCACUUCGGGGUACCGUUAUCUCUGGUCAAAAUAGUAGGGCGCUAUCUACAGAGCUACGCCCUUUCCUCGCGCCGCUGCACGGCUCGCGUGUGAACCUGAAAUCCCCCAAAACAACGUGGGGUGAGAACUAUAUCCAUAGUUCCCAGUGGGUACGGCCACCCAAGGAAGAAGUUCAACCCACCAGGUCCAAAAAAGGCACUGCAAACAUGUUAGUCCAACAGAUAUCCACAGAUAUUUUAUGCAAGUAUCAAAUACAUGCGUAUGCCUCAAGACAUGCAAUAUGUAAAUUCUGCACUAAUGAAACUCAUGCAACAAGCUAAGUAGAUCAUCUGGUUCUACUUCCUAUCUUGCUAUUUAUAGCUUAUAUCCAUCUAGCUUCUAAGGUUUCUACUACUGUAGAUCAAAGCUAACCACCCGACUCGGCCUCGAGUCAAUCAUCUGCAGAAUAUCGCAUAUAGCCAGGCUCGAGGUGAAGGACAUCUCACAUGCAUCUCAGCCUUAAAUCCACUCAACAGGGACGCAUAUCCACUCAACUGGGAUGCCAACUGGGAUGCAAUUCUACUGAUAUGCUUAUCACCCAAUCAUUCGGCUUACCCGAAGGUUAAGCCCCGACUCACAACCCAAUCCCGCAUCGUGAGGAGACGUCCGCUACACUCACCCGGGACCGUCUGCGGGACAGCUACGUUAGCCCCUACCGUGAAGUAUUCCGGAGACCACUGCUUGGGUGGAGCGACCGCCGACAAGCGAAACAGACGCAAUGUGAGCAUGAUCCAAUCCUCUAACCCGAGGAUACCCUACCAACUAGUAGUAAUCAAGCCGGGAUAAACACCAAUCCCAAUCCUCAUAUACUGAGUAAUCACAUUGUCUCUAGCUAAUGCCACAAUGUCACAAUGUCUCUAACUAAUGCCACAAUGUCACAAUAUCAUGUCCAAUGCUACUUUCGUUGCCACAAUGUUCCAAGUUCUCUUUAUCAUGACACUAUAGAGUUUCCAUGUCCACAAUCCAAUUCGCAUACUCUUAGCCACUAGGUAUCUUUUCAUGCUUCCACAUAUACCACAAGAGAAUGCAAGAAUUGAAAUAACCAACAACUACUCUACGAUGCAUGAAUGCUAUACAUGAACAUAUAUGGCCAACAUCUAUCUAUCAUCUAGUAAUGCUAUAGUAUGUCAACAUGCAUAUAUCAUCUAGUAUAUCCUCACAAUGUCAACAUUCAUAUACCAUCUAGCAUAUUCUCACGAUGUCAACAUUCAUUUACUUUGUCAUUCAAUGGUAGCUAAUACAUAUCAUCUCAUGCAUUCACAUGGCAUCCACCUAUGCAUUCAUAUAUGUAAUGAACUACCGCUACAUGCAUCAAUGACAAACCGCUUCACUUUGGCAUGGAAGUGAUCUAAUCACUUCGGUGAAGCACAACCCACCUCGUAACGCUCUCCGAUUGCUUGUAGUCACUUGUAAUCGGGUUCCCGCGGCACGCGUUGUCCGGUUCGGCCCGAACUCGCAAUCGGCAAUCGAACACUCGCCGAUUCUCAACCUAGGGUCAUCAAGAGCUCAUCUCUAACCUUCAAUUAGAGAACAAUAGGAUUAAAAUAGAUCAAAACCCACAUUUGCCCCAAAACCCCAACUUCUAACCCUAACCCCACAUACCCUCCAAAAUCAUGCUAAAUUCAUGGAGGAACAUGUAUAGAAUACACUAGGGAGCUCUAAAUUGCCAUUCAUGAAGGAUUUAAUCAAAUCCCAAACACUUACCAAAAUGCGAACACCGAGUCGAAAGCACACCGCUCCACCGGGCGCACGAAGACUCGAUCCGUCGCUCCCAACGUGUUCCCAAGCUCGCUCUCCGCCAAGCCCGCGAAUUUGAGAGAGAGAUCUAGAGAGGGAAGGUGGGAAGCUAGAGAGAGAGAGGGGCUUCUCUCUAUAUCUCUUGUGUGUGUGUGGUGUGUGUGUGGGCUGAGGAAGAAGGAGGAAGGGGAAGAAGCCCCCUUUAUAAAGCAACCCUCCUACAAUUUACCAAAAUGCCCCAGCCCUCCUGGGCACUUUUCGGGUUCGGGGUCCGGACCCUGGCAACUAGGGUCCGGACCCCGUAGGUCCAGACAGCCCGAAAUUCAGCAUUUCAGCCUUUUGCCAAUUCUCGUCCGUUUUGCUUCGUUUUCGCUCGUUGGGCCUCCGAUUCGUCUCUAAUUGUACCGAGACCCCCAAAACACGUUUUCGAGCGCGUUUAAACCAUCUUUCAUCCACGCUUUGUCGAAUUUAGGCCAAAGUCCAAUCAAAGCCUUUUGGGUUCCGUUUUCGCGCUCGACGCAUACCGAAAACACCCGAAUGCUCCCGAACUUCACCGAAACUACUCUAACAACUCUUCAAGCAAGUUCCCACCGAAACUUCACAACUUUAGGAGUUCGAUAUAUCACAAAGCGUAUCCAAGAAAUACACAAGUGGCUGCUCUAACACCUAAUUUGGGUCUUUUAGGGUCUGGUAGCCUCACAUAUGCUAGACAACCUCACACUUUAAGAUAUUCCAAAUUUGGCUUAUACCCUUUCCACAAUUCAAAGGGUGUCACCUUAGACUUCUUAUGUGGCACGCGAUUCAAGACAUAACAUGCAGUUAAAAUAGCUUCACCCUAAAGGUUUAAGGGUACACCAGUGUCAACUAUCAUAGUAUUUGUUAGCUCAAUCAGUGUUCUAUUUUUUUCUCUCAGCUACUCCAUUAGAGGCAGGCGAAUAUGGAGCAGUAGUUUCAUGGAUAAUUCCUAAAGACUGAACAAAAGUGUUGAAUCCCGUAGAUUCACACUCACGACCUCGAUCACUUUUAAUUCUCUUAAUCUUUUUACUGAAUUGGUUUUCUACUUCAUGUAGAAAAUCUUUAAAUUUGUCAAAAGCAUCACUUUUAUUUUUUAACAAAUAAACAUAAGUAUAUUUAGAAAAGUCAUCGAUAAAAGUGAUAAAAUAUCUAUUUCCUCCAAGAGUUAGAGUACCUUCAAAUUCACAAAUAUCACUGUGAAUUAGCUCAAGUAAUAUGGUACUUCUUUCAAUACUCUUAUGAGGUCGUUUAGUGAUUUUUGCCUUACUACAUUUUCACAUUUGUCAAAAUCACUAUUCAGUCUGGGAAUUAAUCCUAAACUACUCAUCAAGCUAACAUAUUUGUUAUUAAUAUGACACAAACGAGCAUGCCAAAAAUUUAUAGAAGAAAGCAUGUAAGCAGAAGUAGAUAAUACUUUAUUCUCAAUGUUUAGUUUAAAUAUUCCGUCGCAUGCAUAACCUUUACCUACAAACUUUCCAUUCUUUGAAAUCACAUACUAAUCAGACUCAAUGGUCUGUUUGAAGCCAGCUUUAUUAAGAAGAAAACUUGACAUCAAGUACUUCCUAAUCGAGGGUGCAUACAAUACAUCUUUCAAGAUAAGCACCUUUCCAAAAGAAAAUUUUAACUCGACCUCACCACUCCCUAAAACUUCAGAAGUAUGCGAAUCACCAAGCAUAAUAUUUCUUGGUUGUUCAUAGGGAGUAUAUGUUUUAAACCAAGUCUCAUCAUGACAGACAUGCCUAUUGGCACUAGAGUCUACUCACCAUCUUUCAGCAUUCUCCACUAAGCAUAUGUCUGUUAUCAUUGCCCCAAGUGGCUCCUCGGUAACAUUAGCUUGAGGUAAAACUUUACGUUUUCGGAAUUUGCAAAUUCGAGCAAUAUGCCCACUUUUGCAAUAGACAUAGCAAACUAUAUUUUUUACAUUUGAAGGAGGUCCUUGGUCAUUUUUCUUAAAUUGAGGUUUACUAGUAUUCUUUUCAAUUUUCUUCUUAGGCUUCAAGUACGUAUUUCUAGAACGAUUGUUAUUAGGUAAAGAAUUAGAAGAUACUAAGUUUACCUUAGUGGCACUAGCAUCAUUCUCUUUUGCUUCAAGUGCAUCUUGGCCUCUUGCCUCUUCUACCACGCAAAUGCACGCGAUUAAUGUCUAGAGAGACAUCUCCUUUUGCUUGUUGAGAUUUCUAGUUGUAUCGUUGAACUUUUCACGUGUAACCUCCAUUUUUGAAUCUCCUUAAAAUUGUUGGUGUAUAUAUUCAAAAAAUAGAGGUUAGCCACAAAGUAAUAUAAAAAGUGUCAACAAGUCUAUCAAGCCGAGGCACGGAAAUCUCGCUCUCUUUAAGGAGAUUCAAGCCCUCUGCGGUUGGCAAAGCCUUUGAACCGAUGCAGCAAAAUACUGACUUUUUCCCUCUAGAACAAUGGCUCGACCCUCGUCGUGUGGCUUCACCAACUCUGCACGAGUGGAUGAGCCCAAAGCUCCACCAAAAGAACACCUUUUUUUGGCCUUCUCUCUCUCUCUCUCACAAGAAUAGAAAUAACUUAUUAUUUUUCGUUGUUAUGUUGUGCUGUAGAGAAUAGAGAAGCCCUCUAUUUAUAGGCUUCAAAAGAGUAGGAGUUAUAGGUAGUAAACUUAAGUUGUAGGUUAAGGCUUAGGAGUUUACAAAAGUAAAUGUGUUAACGUAAACUCAUUUGAUGUAGGUAAAGUAUAGGUUAAAAAAAACUUACAUUGAAUGCAAGUAAAGUGAAUGCAUAGGUUAUCAUUCUUGUAACCAUAAAUGUUAGAGUAUAGGUUAUGUUAUCUUCAUGCAAGGGUUAUAAAAUUUAAAAUUCACAUUUAAUAAUAAAAAUGUAACAACAAGAACAAAGCUUCAUGUGAAAUCAAGGAAAUAUAUAUUUCUUGGUUAUGGAGGUAAUAAGUUGGGCUAUAGACUUUGGGAUUCCGUUGUUAGAAAAACUAUUUGGAGUCGUGAUGUUGUGUUUAGAGAAGAUAUAAUGUUUAAAGAAGGCAUGGAAGAAGAGCAAAAGAAAUAUAAGCUUGUUGUUGAUGUACAAGUUGAUGGUUCUUCUCACAAUGUACAUGAAGUUCAUCCUCCACUUCAUGAUAGUGAUGUUGGUCAUGAUGGUGAUGUUGAUCAUUGAUGAUAGCACACAAUCUAGUGAAAGUCGGCAUGAUUCUCGUGAGAGCGAGGAUGAUAUGUCUACCCUGUCGGCACGUGAGUUGAAAAGAUCAACUAAGCUACAUAAACCCACCCAAAGGUAUUCUCCUUUCUUGUAUUAUGCUUUAUUUACUGAUUUGGGUGAGCCCAAUUAUUUUCAGGAAGCAAAUGAUUGUCCUAAAAAAACAAAGUGUAAAAGGGCAAUGAAGGAUGAUUCCUUAUAUCAAAACCAUACUUGGAAGUUGGUGGAGCUUUCCGUCGAAAAGAAAGUAUUGAAAAAUCGAUGGGUUUAUUUGAGCAAGAAUGAAGCCGAUGGAUCCAAUAGAUAUAAGGCAAGGCUUGUUGUUAAGGGCUAUGGACAAAAGCAAGUUAUUGACUUCAAUGAAAUAUUUUCUCCCAUUGUUAAGUAUUGCUCAAUUAGAGUUGUUUUAUCCUUGGUUGCAAAUUUGGAUAUUGAGCUUGAACAACUUGAUAUUAAAACUGCUUUCUUGCAAGGUGAUUUUGGAUGAAGAAAUUUAUAUGUUUCAACGAGAAGGCUUUGUAGAAGCUAAUCCUAAUUUACUAUGUAGACUAAAGAAGGGACUACAUGGUUUAAAGUAAGUAUCUAGAUAGUGGUAUAAGAAGUUUGAUUCUUUCAUGCAAGAUGAAGGUUACAAAAGAUAUGAUUUUGAUCAUUGUAGUUAUUUUAAAGGCUCAAUAUAUGAUUCUUUUACUAUUUUGUUACUAUAUAUGGAUGACAUGCUGAUUGUUAGUAAUGCUCAAAAUGAUAUUAUAAAGUUGAAACUUGAUAUGUCGAAGCAGUUUGCUACUAAGGAUCUUAGUGAACCAAAGAAAAUUUUGGGCAUGCAAAUUAAAAGGGAUAGAGACCAUGGCAAGUUAUGGCUUAGUCAACCGAGCUAUAUUUUCAAAGUUCUUGAAAGGUUUGAGAUGAAAGAUUGUAAGAUGGUUUAUAUUCCAUUAGCCGGGCAUUUCAAGUUAUCCAAGAAGAACUCUCCAAAGAAUGAGAUCGGAAGAGAUAAAUGAAGAAUGUUCCUUAUAAUUCCAUUGUUAUGAGCUUGAUGUAUGGUAUGGUUUGUACAAGACAGGACUCAGCUUAUGCAGUUGGAGUUAUUUCAAGAUAUAUGUCUAAUCUGGGAUGGGAGCAUUUGUAAGCCGUUAAAUGUAUUCUUCGGUAUUUGAGGGGCACACAAAAUAUUUGUUUGUGUUUCGGUGGAACUUCUUUGGGGGUGAAUGGAUAUGUUGAUCUUGAUCAUGCCGACUGUAGAGAGAUAAGAGAGUCCACUACGGGAUAUGUUUUUACAUUUGGAGGUAGUGUGGUUAGUUGGAUGUCUAAGUUGCAAGGCAUCGUUGCUUUGUCCUCUAGGGAAGCCGAAUAUGUUGCCUUGACCAAGGCGGCGAAGGAAAUUAUUUGGUUGAAGCGAUUGCUUGCACAAUUUGGAGUGAAGCAAAACAAAUAUGUUGUGCAUUGUGAUAAUCAAAGCGCAAUUCAUCUUGAAAAAAAUGAGGCGUUCACUCCCGAACUAGGCAUAUUGAUGUUCACUUUCACUUUAUUCAGAUGACAUUAGAUUGUCAACAAUGUGGAGAAGAUCAAUACAAAGAAAAACCUUGCAGAUAUGUUGACAAAGGUUGUUUCUAUGAAAAAACUCAUAUUUUGUAGAAAGCAACACUCUGGAUUGAUCGAGAUGUAGAUUGAGUGGUUGGAGAAUAAUGCAUUUUAAAGAAGCUUAUUUGAUGGAUGGAGAUUACUUGUUAGAAGGAUGGAGAUUUACCUUCAAGUGAGAGAUUGUUGAACUAAUUAUAUUGGGCCUAUUUGUUAUUUGGGUUUUGCUGUUUGGGCUAUAUAAUUUGGUAAAGUCAAAAUCUCCUAUUUUUAUAUUUUCUUAUUAUGUAUGUGUGCCCCCUAUUUAUAAGCCUUUGGAUCAUGAUUCUUUUGAUCCAAAGGCCCAUAUUGAUAGCUUCUCUUAGGAGCUAAAGCAGAAUAUUAGAAUAUUAGAGAGAAAAGAAGAGUGAGAAAUAGAAAGUGAGAAAGAAGUGGGAGAAAAGAGAGGAAAUCCUAGAGCUUGGUUUUGGUUCUAUCAAGAAGGAGGUGAGAUCUUCCUUGUGAGGUGUGGUUUACACUAUUUGGAUAGAGCUAGAGAUUGUUGGAACUCUUUUUAUAUUUUAGAGUUAAGAUGAUAUUUUUUUCAUUUGAAUCUCUCUUGUAAUCUCUAAGUUUAUAGUGAAAGUUUCUGUUGCAUUGUUCUUCUGUGGAUGUUGGUAUAGCCGAACGACGUAACUCCUUAUGUUCUUGUGAUUUUGUUUAUUUUGUUAUUGCUCUUAUGAUUGGCUCUCCAUUAGAUACUUGUAUAGAGUGGAUUGUGAAAAUUGCCAACCAAGUAUUUGUAAAAUUGUAUUAAUAUUUUUCAUCCUCAUUUUACAACAAGACGAAUACUUUUGAGUUUCAGCCUAGACUCGAAGACCUCAAGACCUCUGCUCGAGGUUUGAACCCAAUCGGACCGUUCCAUCUCUAAUUCGUUCUCGAGACAAAGUCAAAUCGACUUGCACAUCGAGAGACAUUAGAAAACAGGCAAACUAGAUCGUGCCAUACACCACUUUGCAAUUUUCCAGUCAACACAAGUAGGCGAAAUAUUGAAGAAAUAUUUGACCGGAACGCAUAGACAUCUCCAAAAUUAAAUAACUAAAUAAAUAACUAGUUAAAUAUGUAAAUUUCUCUUUUGACCCCCAGUUAUAAUAAUUCCCAUAUUGUGAAUACAAUGAUUCGGUUAUGAUAUAUCGGAAAAAAGAGAACUGUCUUUGCAUCUUUCUUUGCAACUCAGUCAAACUUUCCGGACAGGAUUAGCAAAAAAAAAGUCUUUGAUAUCAGUUAAAAGACCCCACUCAGAAAUAGGGAAAAUUGAGGAAGCACAAUGGUAAGUUCUCAUAAGAAAGAGAACUAAAAAUUAGCUCGGGAGGAUGCAAAUAAGAUAACACCGGUACCUUAUUUUCUUUACUAUUAUUAUUAUUGUUAUUACUAUGAAAUACCAAAAAAUAAGAAAGAAAGCGGAAGCACUAAAUAUGACUAGAUUCAAAAAAAAAAAAGAAGAAAAUACAAAAAUACAAAAAGAAUGAAAAUUAAGUGUGAGCCUUAUAAAAUGGUAUAUGCCUCAUAUUCUAAACACCUUGCUGUUGCUAUACCAUCAUAGAUGGAGUAGUAAAGUAAAUCGAUAAAUGGAAUAAAAUAGGGAAGUGAAGAGUGAUGAAUCAAUGCAGCAGUUACUUCUCAGUACUAGAUCUCUAGUCUUCAUUUCAUUACUUGGUACGAUAAACAAAAGAGGAAACAACUGAACUGACAAAAGCAAAUUUAACUAUUAUUAUUUAUUAAAAUUUAAAAUGAAUACAAAAAUUUAACAAUUAUAGAAAGGAGAGCAUUACAUGCAACUUUAUUAUAUUAUGUUACAGCUUUGCCACAAUGGAACAAUUAACGUUAAACUAAGUUCAGCUGGCUUCGAAAUCGUCAGUCUUGAUUCAAUUUCAACCGGUUCAUCGUCUUGCAGGUCGGUGUGGCUUGUUCUGCUGACUCUUUCCUGCCGAACACAACGAACCAAGUGGGGGAAAAUCUUCCGAAGAGAAGGGGCCAUCGCGAGUCCACUUCAUGCCCUCUGAGCUUUGCUCCUCUCUGGGUACGUUAACCUGUUCGGCUCGGGGCGGCAGAGUCGAUGCUGGUCGUGCUUGGGCCAAUGGCGUGGACGCUGGUUGGGGUUGGGCCCGCGAGCUUACUAACUCGUUCACCGGAGCUGGCACCAGAGGGUACUGGAGGGGUCGAAGAUUCUGUAGUUCAGGAUCAGGAAUGAAUCUGUAGGGAAGCUUGCGACCAUCCAUUUUUCUGAACGUAAUUGAGAUCCUGUUGAAGGAUUAAGGAUAAAAGAAGAGGAUUGUUAGGAAUUAAUAGCAGCAGAGAUGAAGUCGUAUAAUUUGAGAUAAAAACUCUCUUGUAGUGUUAGGAAGUGUUUUAUCUGUGUCAAUCGUACUGUUUCGAUGCAUUACCUCUUGGUGGGCACAGCAGGUACGCAAUGCUUAGCUACAUCUGCGCCAUUACCAUUCAAAACAAGCACCGACCUGCAAGUUAAUUCGGUCACAGUUAAGAGUCAAUUCCAAAACAAAAGUACCUUGUAAUUAGAUAAGAAUAGGUAGGAAUGAAGAAAGAAUACAAUUUCUUUGACAAAUACAGUCGAUGGCCAAAAGUAUGUAUGAAAUAAAACUGAGAGCAUUUGAUUGCCAGAGUUGUAGCUUUCCUACGUAAAAUAUGUUAAAACUAGCUAGUGUAAAAUAAUAUUGAGGGUCCAAAUUUUCUCCCUACAACUGAUCACUAAUAGAAUUGUUCAAAAACUACAUCUUGGGGCAUUUGAAUCUUCUCGGUACUAAUUUCUAAGUGCCUUUCAUGGAAUCGAUAUAACCAUUCCAUGAUGCUUUUUAUACUCGCAAUGCACAAUUAGUUGGUUGUGCAUAAGACAUCUGACUAUGUAGUAUGAGAAAACUUUAUAAUCCACUUGCAUAGCUAGACCUAGUACACCCUUUUAGUUGAAAUGCUAGUUUCCUGAACUGUAUAGGUUGUUCUGCUAGUAAAAGUCAGUACUCGAAGCUUUUAGAACACACAUACAGCAAAUUAAAGUUAAUAGAUACACCAGGGAAGGCAUUUCAAAAGCAAUUGUUUGAAAAGUGUGCUGCACAUCAAGGAAACAAUACAGAAAAUUGGUGAAUUGCCACAACAUGCAAAAAAAUUAUACUAAUACACAAGAGAGACCUCGGAAGCUGCUCAAUCAAACAUAAGAUAAAAGAAGUGAUGAGAAUGGUUUUUUUCUUAAAAAAAAAAAAAGGAAGAGUACAAGGCCAAAACAUAAGUGAACUCAUAUAUAACAUUUAAACUAGAACUAAACACCAAAAUAGUGAUCCUCAAAUAAUUUGGAAACAACAACUUAAUCAAAACCAGCAUAUUUUAAUGUUGAAAAUGGAAAUGAAGUUAGGAUAUGAGUAGAAAUAAUGAGAUAAACCACUGUUAAUGAUUAACAUACCCGACUGGUAAAGGAAUGGAAGUAGGGGCUGCAAACACUCCCGGCGAGACCACUUUGAUGUAGGUUCCAAAGAGAAUGUUGCACUGGGAGAGCAAGGAAACGGUGCAAAAGGGUCGAACGAAAUCGUGGUGGUCGAUAUGAGGAGGGAUGCAGUCAUCUUCAUCAUAGAUGUUUAUGAUGCAACUGUUUGGGACACACGUUGGCGGGAGCACAUGCCACGCCACCAUCCUCUUAAUCAUAGUCUUCAGUAUGGGAGGCAUUGGAUCGACUUCCUCGUCCCGCAUUAUUCCUGGAAGGUUUCCAUUGUUAUCCUGAAUAACAACAAGUUUUAUUAUCAAAACAAAAGAACGACUAAACAAAGAGAUGCAAAAGAAUAAAAAAUAAAAACUGAAACUACGGUAUGUAUUAAUUUACCUUUGCAUAGUUGUAGCAACAACCAAAUUGUAUAGUCACGCGCCCUUUCCCACGCAUCCACUUCUUUGGCUCUGAAUAAGUGCGCUCUGUGAAGCAGAAAAGUUGUUAGCGAACCGAUAGGGAAAAAUCGAAAUAUAUACAUAAACAACAUGAAAAAGCAUAUAGCAACCGAUUUCCAAAGUAAAUGCCUACUGCAAAAUAUCCAAGGAAAGCAGUAAAGGAUGCAUUCACGCUACAUUCAUCAAAAGCAGGAACUGAAGGAGACAAUGCGCUUAUACCUAUAUUUUCAUCAAGUGGAGUAAAGGAACACAAUUGACGUAUAUUCAAUAACGGGAAAAAAAAAAAAAAAAAGAAAAGAAGAAGAAGCACAUAUAACAUUUACCAAGGCAGUGACGAUGAUAUUGAUCGUGCCUAUGUUUAUAUUUUCAUCAGGUGCAGUAAAAAGAGAACGGAAAGAAAACAAUUACAUAUUAUGCAAUAAGAGAAAAGAGAAAGGAAGCAUCUAGGGCAUUUGACAGGCAAACGACAGCGACACGACAGCAACAGCGGCUCCAUACAGCAUAGAAUUCAUCGGAAAGAUCCGAAAUUUUCUAUCGAUUUGAAGCUGCGCUGCAUGCGGGCAGAACUGACAUUCAAACUGAUUCUGGCUUCCGUAGAAUCAGCCAGGCCAUAAAUUCCCCCCUCUGUUCUUUUCUUGGAUCAGUACCCGUAAACCAUUAUAUUACCCCAAGAACAAGUUAUGAAUACUAUGGUUUCAAAAUUUGUUUCAGUUUCUUGAAUUAUUAAAAGAAAGGAAAGGAAAGAAGAUCCUUUACCUCUGAGCAAUCCACGCCUUCCUCGCUGCUGGAAAUCCAAGACGCAGUCGACGAUCCUGUGCUGCUCGGCGGCGGAGAAGACCCCCUCGUGGAGCUCGAGGCCUUCGAGGACGUUGACCCACCUCCCCCCGACCCUCUCCAUGUGCUUAAAAUCCUUCUUCCUCUUCACCAGAGACAACAUUAUGGCCUCCCUCUGCUCCCUCGGGAGCUCCUGCUCCUUCUCCUGCUGCCGGUGAUGCCGACUACGCUCUCCGUCGCCGCCCAUGAUCGCAGAGAAGGCUCCUCAAACAGAAGCAGGUGAAGAAGAUGAGGAAGAUGAGCAAGAAGACUCGCCUAAAAACAAGAAAACCAACAAGCGGUGCCCAUCAAUACAAGUGACAAGAAACAACUACUAAGGGAACACAGAAAACAAAGAGAGCAAAAUCCCCAAUGAGAAAAUUUUUCAGAAGUACUAGGAGAACAUGGAUACAUACCGCUGUGAUAUUAAAGGCGAUCUCUCUUCUCCUCCUUCUUUAUCUUCACCCUUUACUGCUGUGUUUCUGUUUCAAUCUUGAUCUUCCUUUCUCUUUCCCUCUCCGUCUGUCUCUCCUUCUGUGCUAUGGUAUGUUUAUAUAUAAACGAGAGGGGCAGGCAAAUGAGAGAGAGACUCGGAAAGAGACUCGGAAAGCAGGCUGCGCCGAAUCUUACGAGGAAAUAUUAGAUUCCUAGUCCGACUUGGAUUUAGUUCUAAAUCUCUCUAUCUCUAUAUCUUCAAUAUCUAUUAUUUAUUAUUUAUUACUAUAUAUAGGAAUACUGUCCGUUUGCUGAAACAUAUCGCGGCCAUAUACCCGGUGCAUCAGGUUAUUUUUAUUUUAAUAUAUAUAUAUAUAUAUAUAUAUUUAUAUAUGUAUAUAAUGGAUAUAUAAGCACUAUUAUUCUAAUUUGGGUCUGUUCGACAGACCCAUUUUUGGCGAAAAAAAAAUAUUUGAUUCCUCUUUUCUUACUAAAAUAUAUAAAUAAAAUGAAACAAAUUUAAUUUCUAUUAUCUCUAAAAUAGAAAAAUAAUAUAAUUAUCAAAUUUUUACAAGAUAUAUCUACUGUGAAUAUAUUUAUUAAAAAUUAUUUAAUUUUUUAUCUCUAAAUAGAAAAGAAAUUUAUGCUUAUCCAAAUUAUUUGCGCAGAAUAUCUACCUGUAAAUUUAUAUUUCAAUUCAAAUUUAAAAUUAAUUUAAAAUUUAAAAUUUUGGGACUAUCAAUAUAUUACAUAGAAUAAUUUAAAAGAUAGAUUGGUUGUAAAUUGAAAUCAUAUUUUUGAAAUAAUAUGAGUGUACAAAUUUAUGAUUAAUUUGUAAAAAUUAUUCUCAAAUAAAUGAACAAAUUAUGAUCAAUUUGUUAAAAAAAAAUUUAUACGUAUUCUAUAACUUCAAUUCUACGAACAGUUAUGAUCAAUUGUUAAAAUAUUAAAAAUAAAAUAAAUUUUUAUAUUCAAUCUAUUAAAAAGUAGCACUUCAUUUAUUUAUUUUACAUUAAAAUUUAAAUGAGUUUAAAUUGUAAAUUAAAUUAAUUUUUAAUUUUUUAUAUCAAAUCUAUCCAUCUUUUUAUUAUUAAAUUUAAAAUUGAUAAUUGUAGAUAUUCUAUAAAAUGUAACAUAUAAAUUUAUAUAAAUAUUUUAUUCUAAAUUUUUGAAUAAAUAUUGAUUUAAUGUUUACGAUUUAAACAAAUUAAAUAAUUGUUAUGUGCAGUUGCACGUACCAUCUCAACUAGUAUAUAGAUAUAUAUUUAAUAAUAUAUUAUUAUAGAAUUAUGUCCUAUAUAUAUCAAUUAGUACCAAGCCUUGGUACUAUGGUUUUUGGAUGGGACCGUUUGGAUGAAAGGAUAUGCGGUUAGGAUGAUAGUGGUCCCCUAGGGUUGAGUGGGUGGUUGGUUUAAUAGUAUAAUCUAACGGGUGGAAAUGAUCACAUGGUAGAUCUAACGGUAGAAAACUCUAUAGUACCAAAGGCUUGGUACUAUCAAUAGUAUAUAUAUAUAUAUAUAUAUAUAUAUAUAUAUAUAUAUAUAUAUAUUUAGGCUAGAAUGCUAUCAAUAGCACUAAGUUGUUGGUGCUAUUAGGUUUUCGGCCUUUGGAUGAAGAAACGUACGGUUAGGAUGAUAUAGGCCCUUUAGGGUUGAAUGAGUUGCUGGUUUAAUAGUAUAAUCUAACGGGUAAAAAUAGUCAAAGGGUUAAAUCUAAAGGCAGAAAACUCGGUAGUACCAAGUGCUUGGUGCUAUUGAUAGUAUUCCAGCCGGACUCUAUAUAUAUAUAUAUAUAUAUAUAUAUAUAUUUUAUACCUUUUAAUACAAAGACAUUUAAAAUAUAAUAAAAUUAAUUUAAUUAAUUAAUUUUUUUUUUGACAUUUUGUUAUACAAAUUUAUCGGCAUUUAUGAAAUGUAUACAUAUACACUAGGUGCAGGCAAUAGUUUUCAAUAGAGAUGAGCCAUCAUUUGUGGACAUGUGUCCAUUCAAUAGGUGCACCGGGUGCACCAAGAAUCCAAUAAAAAAAAUAUAAUUUUAUUUUAAUAAAUAUGUCUAACAUUUAUAAAUAUUAACAUAUAAAUAUUUUAAAUAUUAUGGAAUAAAUUGAAUUAACUAAAAUUUAGUUUUGGCAUCUUCUUUGUACAACUUUAUUGGUGUGUAUGCUAUAUAUAUAUAUAUGCAAACCACACACUAUGUGCGGUCAAUUACUAUAUAAGCUUCGUUUGGUUCGAGGUUUAGUUCUUUAUUUCAGGGAUAGUGUUAAGUUCAGGGUUAAGGUGGGGUUAGAGUAAUUUUGUAUUUCGUUGAGAAUUGGGUUUAAUCCAGAUAUAAGUAAAAUAAUGUUUGGUUAGAGUAAGUGAAAUAAAAAGGAUAAUGGAUAAUUAUAAAUAAAAAAUAAUAAUAUUACCCCAAUUAUUAUAUUUGAAUUUGAAUUUUUUAUUUUAUAUUUAAAAUUUUAAAUGUAAAUAGACAUAUGCUUAGAAAUCCUAGAAACUUGUUUUUGAAGCUUGUUAUUGAAGCAAGUUUUUUGGAAACUUGCUUUAAGGUACAUGCUUAGAAAUAAGAUCCUUUAGAAAUCCUAGAAACUUGCUUUUGAAGCUUUUUGAUUCAUGUCUUAAAGUAAGUUUCAGUUUUUCGAUCGUCAACUCGAUUCUUAGGCUUUUAUUCUAAUGUUUCUUCGAAAAUCAAGUUGAUGAUGGAUUGAAAGGGUUCUCCUCAUAGCUUAUGAUUUUCUAAGAGAUUCAAUCACCACCAAUUAUUCUUUCUACGGGCUCCGAACGGAGUGUUUGCGCGAGGGCUUUGCGUGAGGCCGAGGAUUCGGUGGACGCUAGUGGAUUCGAGGCGUUGUUGCUGCAAGGAGUUGCGGCGUGAUCGGUUGGAGGUGUUCGAUCGAUCGAGGACCGGCGAAGACGAUCUACGGUGAGGAUUCGGUAAAAGUUGGGUCGUGAAUUUGCUAAAUCACUUUGUACUCAAUUUUUCAUAGUAGAUUGUUUCGUGCGAUCAAUCUCGUGGUUUUUUUACUCCGAAUUGGAGUUUUCCCACGUAAAACCUUAGUGUGUUGGUUUUCAUUUUCCACAUUUGGUUUUUAAUUUGUAUCGUGAUUUUUGUUUUGUCGUUUACACCUAUUCACCCCCCUCUAGAUGUUAUUUUACCUUUUAGAUCUUUGGGAUUCAUAACUUACAAAAUGCAUAUAAGACUAUUUUAUAUAUAUAUAUAUAUAUAACCCGGGGCUACUAUACUUAUAUGAGUAUAGAGAUCUUUGUACUCAUAAGUUUUCGGCCGUUCGGAUGAAAAAAUGUGCGGUUAGGAUGAGAGUGGUUACGACAAGGUUGAUAGUAGGCCCCCUAGGGUUGAGUGAAUGGUUGGUUGAAUAGUAUAAUCUAACAGCUGAAAAUAGUUAAAGGGUAGAUCAAACGGCAAAAAACUUAAUUAUGAGUACAAGAUGCUCUAUACUAAUAAGAGUAUAGUAUAUAUAUAUAUAUAUAUAUAUAUAUAUAUAUAUAUAUAUAUAUAUACUUUUACCAGUUUCCUUUUUCUAAAUUGCCAGCUUUUAAAUACUUGUAAUUUUCCAAAUAUGUAUACUCUCAUAUAUAUCUGUCUGUGNUAUAUAUUAUUUUAUUUGUAAAAUUUUAUUAAUUAUAUAUAUUUUAAUUAGUUGAAAUAUUAUCUACCCGCUGCGAAGUGCGGGCCCUUUACUUGUAUAUAUAAUAUACCAUUCUGGAUUCUAAUUUGUGUCUACUGCACCACGAAUCUAAAGAGUUUAUAUAAAAUCGGACAAUGCAAAUUUGAAAAACUAUCUAUGUACAUACUAUGCAACAAUCUAACUUGUAGGACAACAAAAUUAGUCAUUUAAUUAUUUCACAAAUUGUAACUUAUUGGCAAUGAUAUUUCCAUUAAAUAAAUGUUAACUAUUAUAUAACCAGACAUAAAUAAUCAAUAGUUUUGCAUCAAAUAUAUAUCUGCAAAUAUUGUUUCGAUAAAAUUUAUACAGUAUAGAAUUCUACAUUUUCUAUAAUUAACUAACUUGUGCUUAAAAGUUAAUGUUAAAAGUUUAUGUACACAUGCUUUUUAAUUAUAUAUACAUACAUUAGGGUUAAAUAUAUCAAAGUCCCUCAUUUGGUAAGUACAUUAAUGGCUUCUUGAUAUGAUAAAAUUGAAGUUAUCUGGCUAGAUUAGUAUUUGAUUUAUUGUGAAUUUGGUUGGAUUAGGAUCUGGCUCAUGGGAAGAUAUAGUUAAAGUCAUGCAUUAGCGGGAUUACAUAUUUGAUUCUUAUGAAAAAUUUAAGUACAUAGAAUUCUAGUUUCCUUCAGACAGAUUAAUUUGUUUUAAACUCUUAAAAGGGGACUAAAAAAGAAGCACCAUUACCCCUCAAGACUCAAAUGUUUGAACUGUACUUUUUCUCUCUUGUUAAUAUUUCUUUAUAAUCAAGCCAUCGUGUAUUGUUUAUUGAGGUAUAUUUACACUACUUGCUACAUAAUCUAAUUUCCUUGCAGCAUGCUGCUAUACCCUGUAAUUAUUGUCUUCAUGAUAACUCAUCAAUCCAUGUCUUUCUAUUAUUGCCAAUACUUGGUAUAUCUAGAAUUACUCCAUAUAUUUAUUGAUCUAAAAUAAUACUUCCAUUUACUAUAUAUCUGUCUCGUUAGUUCAUAAAUAGUAUCUUCUUUAAGACCUCUUGAUUGUGCAGGAGGCAGUUUAUUUAAUUUCAUUUUUUGCAAACAUAUUGUUCUCUAGAUUGGAACCCACAAUCACAAAAUAGAUAUAUUGUAAGAACUUAGUUUCUACUAUUAAAUGGUCCAAUAUGAAGAACAACAAAUAGGAUAGAGCUUUCUGAACAAAUGUUGAAUAGAAAAAUUAUAAAGUUGAUUGAUUAGCUGGUUUUUGAACUUCUCAGGAUGUAGCUUCUGCUCAGUAUGAAAUGGAUAGGAUACUUGGGCAUCCAUUCCUGCAACAUUACACAAUAGAUACUUAGAUGCAUCUCAAUGUAUCACUUAAUUAGUUAUAUAUGUUAUAUAGUGGUAGCUAGGAUGAUUUUUGUUACACCUAGAGACAGAAAAUUAGACUAUAGAUAUAUAUGUUAUAUGUUCAAAACUUAUUCAUUGAUCAAUAAUUAGUUCAAAUGUUAUUCAAUGUGCAGGUGGAUCAAAAUGCGUUUAUGCACUUUUUGAUUUACUACUUAAAUAUUUAGAAAAUUUGUUGUCUUAGCAAAUUCAAAGUGAAACUAAGAAAAAUAUGUUUUGCCUCAGAUGUGGAUCUAGUAGUUCGUGCAGUAGGAACUUUUAAACACAAAGAGAAAUACACUGUCUUGGAAGCAGCCAUAUCUAUGAAGGUGAGAAUGUGAUAGUUUGUCUACUCAUUAUUCAUUAAAUUUGAUAUUGUUAUCUUUUUGAGAUAUUAUAUAAUCUAAAAAAUUUUCUGUGAAAUCUGAAAUUUCCUAUAUGCAUCUAAAAAACUUUUUAUAUAUAUAUAUAUAUCAAAUUCAAAACCAGCUUUUCCAUGAGAUAGUUUGAUUCCGUAAGUUAAGAUAAGGCCAUUUUUUUAGAAAUCUACAUUUUUGACGAGCAUAUAAGGGUAUAUGAUAAAACCCUUACCUAUUUUUUAGUUUAACUGAAUGAAGAAUUAGCUAUAGACUUCUUUUUCUUGUAAGCAGACAACAUAUGUUCAUGUUUGUGAUGACACAGACUAUGCUUGGAGAGCAAAAGGUUUCCAUAAAGAAGCAAUAGCUGCUAGUGUUCUAGCUAUAACAAUAGCUAGAAUAUAUCCUAGAGUGAGCAAUGGUGUUUCUUUAUAUGGCAUAGCAUAGUAGUUUAAUAUUUCUUUUUUUUUUUUCUGAAGAAAGUAUUGCAAUACUCCUCCAUUUGCUCACUUGUUAUGACUACAUUUUGAGGACCUCUAUCAAGUUCAUGAAUAAUGGAAGUGGUUUGCAAAUUUUGUACUUGUUUUUUUGUAAGUUCAUUGUUCUUGAAUUUUUUUUAUUUUUUGUAUUUUUUUUAGUUAGAGAGUUUGAUUUGUUACAUGUGAGUGGAUAUUAUUAUUGUGAUGUAUGGAUAUUAGAUUUAGUUCUACCAUUCUNAUUUAUCUAAACAUCUAGUGUUAAGUUUUAGUUAGAGAGUUUGAUUUGUAACAUGUGAGUGGAUAUUAUUAUUGUGAUGUAUGGAUAUUGGAUUUAGUUCUACCAUUCUAACAGUAAUUUUAGAAACUUUGUUGAUUUCGAUGUUUUUAGUUUCAUUGAUUUAAUGUAAAUGUGAUUAGCUUAACUAAAACUUAACACUAGAUGUUUAGAUAAAUAUUAUUCUUUUAAUGACAAUGGGAAUACUUAUAAAGUGUCACUAUGCAAAAAAGAUAUUACCAUUUUUUUUUUCAAAUUAGGGACACUUAUGUGUGUUAUUAAAAGCAACAGAAAGUGUCACUAAAUUGCAGCACUUUUUAUGUUCCAAGGACGCUCAAAAGUGUCGCUAUAGCCUAGUUUUGUUGUAGCGACACAAUCACAAAACAUCCAGAAGGGCCUAAUUGUGCAUAUUUGGUUAGCAAGAAGCUCCCCCACACAUUCGUUGGAUCCAACACUAAACAACCCUCUAAUGACAACUAACAUUGAAACGAUGCAGCGAUAAUAACAACAUCCUACACACGGUACAUUCACAGCAAUUAUAGCAAAAUGAAAGAUGAGCUGAUUAAAAUUUGGACCAAGACAUGCAAGGAGAAUGUCCACUAAACGUCAUACAAGCUACCUGAAAGCCUCAAUGUGUUAUUUCUAGCAAUAGAAAGGCAAGAUCACAGCCAAUAAUGAAGCUCAGGCAUGACAAAGUGCAUAAUUGCCAGGGAAGGAGGAAGAGCUCCGGGAUUGGUUGUCGAACGCAUGGGCAGCCGACAAUGGUAGAGAGCCUGCCAGAAAGAGAACCCAAAGGGGCUCAGGUUAACAAGCUAUGCGGCCAUGGUGCAACUCGAGCUAGCUACUGUUCGACAUAAGUAGCACCAAACAACCGUAGAAAGGAGAAAGGAAAAGAUAAGGGCCGCCAAGGCUUCAAUCUACGGUCACCACCAGUAGUGUAGGCCAUAGAGUGGAAAAGCCCACGAGGAUGGCUUGACCAGGUAAGGUCGCUCAUUCUAAUAGGUAGAGAUCACACGAAAAAAAGGUGGCGGGAAAGACCUGUCACGCCCGGGUUCCAGCGGAAGCCUACCCGGUACAUGCACAGACCAGCCGUAUACUCAAGCAUACAAGGCGUCUGCAAAAACCAUGCUAGUAAAGUAAUAACAAGUAAGAACAUCUAACAUGGUAUCAGAGCGUAAAAUAUACAAAAUCCACUAAAAGCAACAGGAAGCCAGAGUAUAAACCUACAAAUACAACUCUCCCACAAAACUCAUACAUCACACGAUCACAAAACGGCUAUAUAUACAUGUGUUAGUCUCUAUACAAAGGUAGCACAUCAUCCUCGCUGACACGUCCCAAAACAGAGAGGUGAUCAUCUAACGGGACUCCAAGCUAUGCCUCGCUAGAUGCGACUAUCUUGCCGCGGUCCCUAGCCUCUCCCACUGUGGAUGGCUUUGUAAAUAGACAACAACAAAUAGGGCAUGAGAACUAUUAGUCAAUAGUUCCCAGUGGGUAAGCCGCCGACCUCAGCGAAUUACACCACUAGGUUCACAAAGCAUAAAUAGAAAGCAUGUACACCUACAACAUGAUAGGAAUAAUAAGCAACUAAUGAAUUGUAAAACUACUAUGCUUUCAAUGAAACUAACAGUGUGCUACAAAUACAUGAACUACUCUAUAUGCGUAAGCAUUCUAUAUCAUUUCAUAAUUGUACACUAUCUAGCAGUGACCAUCUUACUAGUACAAUUUAAUAUUGUUAUUCAAUUCAUAAGAACCUACACAAGGUAGUCCGGCUUGCGCCGCGCCUAAUGGCCCCGUGGUAGUAUGCACUCCCCACGGCAAUCCACUUCGACACCCAAUCCCGCACGGGGGAGCAUAAUGUCGCGUAGGCCAACUCCGGAGUGUCGACUUGUGGGUAGCGACUCUCACAAGCAUGUGUGAAUGAGCACAAUGGCAAGGAAGCAUGAUCCACAAUACCAGAUUCUCAAUCGUCAUGUCUCAAACAUGGAAUAUCCUCACCGACCUAUAGGUCGGGAUCUAAGUCCAAUAUCAAAUGCUAGUUAUCAACUAGGUUAUAACAACAACAUGAAUAUCAUGCUAGACUAAGCAUAUUUAUACCAUUUCCAACUUGUCUAGGCAAGUAUACUAUUUAUCAUAUAAGGAAUUUAAUGCAUUUAACUCUCUACUUCAUAGAGAUAUAACAUUGCCAUAUGAUGUUAUUACAGCUAAAACAUCCAAUAACUUCUUUACGAUGCCGCUAACAUAGAUAUGCAUCAAUUCUAGCUCUAUAUUAAGAAUAAGAACAUUGGAGGAAUUCACCCAUUCUGGUGAGGUCAAACCCACCGAAUCGCUGUCGACUCUUGUCGAUCCCGCGAGCGAAGGCGCUCUCUAGCCUCCAAGCACCCUAACAACCAUUCUAAGUUAAUUAGGAGUUAUACUCAAACCUUCUAAUAAGAACCUCACAAGUUCUUCUAACUUAGAUAGAAUCUUACCUAGUAUAGAACCAAGACUUAAUCUUCACUUCAACUCAGGUUGGAGCACACCAAAUCCAACCUUUCAAACUCCCAACCAAGCUCACCCCUCGCUAGGAUUGAGGAAUAAUCCUAAGCAAAACCUCCUUCUUCACGUUCUCAACACCACCAAGAAGCUUCCAACCAGCCUGUUUUCCCUCAAGCUCCAGCACAGGAAACAUCAGCUAAGGUCGAGCUGAGGCUUAAAUGGAUAACCUUCACUGUGAAAUUACCAAAAAAUUUCUUACCAACUCAAUCUGCCGCACUGGGGACCGGUACUCGGGUUGAGGUACCGGUACCCGCGCGAUGCCGUACCGGUACUCAGCUCCAGCUGCUCAAACCCGAGAGCUACGCAUCUGGCAACCCUCUGAGGUACCGGUAUCAGGCUCAGGUACCGAUACUCAACACUCCAAUCUGCAUUUUACAGAUUUUAGUGUUAAGCACUCAUCCUGGCAUUUAAAACACUUAAGUUAAAUGCCUAUCUACUCUCAACAACCCCUCACAAGUUCUAGAAUAGUUCUAAUUAAUAUUCUAACACUAGAACCUUGCAAUUUGCUAAAGUUCAGUGUACUACAAAACCAGAGCAGGGCUGGGUGAUUAGAGCGCGAUGACCCCACAAGGAGGAGGUUAAGGUGAUGGCUCGGCCUGAGGUAAAACCUGAUACAGUUCCACCAUAUCGAUAAGGAUAAAGCGAUCAUUUCAACAAGAUCGGACCUUCUAAAGAGAAAGAUAUUGAGAAAUAGAGAGAGAUAAAGGGAAAGAGAAUGAAAGAGAAGAAGGAACAAGACUACCAAUUUUUUCUUAUUCUCCAAACCCUAAAAGAUAUAAAUUUAUAUAACCUAACCUUAAUUAUACUUUAUUGAAAAUAACUAAACUAUUCUAAAAUAAUAAUAUAUCUUUCUAUAAUUGGAAACUCCUAAUCUAGGAACGUACCAUUCCACUACCCUCGAAAGCCAUAUUUUUCACAAGGUGGAAAAUCUUCAACUUUGUCUAUUCUCUUUAGAUCAUCUUUUUUAUUUUCAUCAACUUCGGCCUCAAUUAAAAUGAUUUGAGUUGCAUCGAUAUCCGAGACUAUAUUUUUCAUCACAGUAGUAGCAAAGGCCAUGACCACUUCUUACUUUUGCUUCAGUCGGUGUAAGGUCUUUUAUGGGUGGAAGCGUCUUAUUAGAUGUUAGUGUCGUGGAUGCAGACAAAAGAAAAGGCUUCAUAAUAUGAUAUUGAGCUAUCAACUUCUCCUCCUGUAGAUACGCAAGACCAAUGAUGGUUGACAUAGAAGCUGGUUGGAAAGCUUAGACAUCAUGCUUUAGGUCCUCCCUCAGCCCACUAACGAAGGAACUUAUAAAAAAUUUCUUAGUUAGUCCUGAAGUACGAUUUACAAGCAUUUCAAAUCGGGCCUGGGCGUCACGAACACACUGAGCAGGCCCUUGUUGUAAUUUUGAUAACUCACCUAUAUAGUUCUCAUACAUUGUUGGAGCAAAACGAGUGCAAAGGGCUUCUACGAAAAUCCGUGCAUGCUGCAACUCCAGACACUUCUUAAACCAUUGAAACCAUUGCAAUGCUUCUUUCUCCAUAUGCUAAGAUAUGAGCGGAACCUUUUGCGUGUUUGAUAUUUGAUUAAAUUUAAAAAAUUACUCUGCUCAAUACACCCAUCCAGUUAGAUCCUCUCUAUCGAACGAAGAAAACUCCAAGCGUGUGACGCGAGGUUGCACCAUCAAAUGAUUUUCUAUAAAAGGAACCAACGCUCCUUCCUUUAUAGGAGUUCGGAGUAAGGGAUGAUUUUUGUCGGAAUUUGAGACAAAUGUAUCUUCAAAUGGUGCAUGCGGUCGCAGAUCCAUCUUUGUACUUAUAGUGAUGAUUAGAUUUUUGAGAUUGUUAACAGAGUUGCUAAUGAGCUUUACUUUGGUCUCCGUUUUGUUGAGUCGGUCGUCAACAAUGAAAAAUUGAGUAUUUAUUUUCUCUUUUCUUACAAACUCUACGCUCAUCUUCUUCAGAAAAUCUUUUUGUGCUCGAAUCAACACUAUACAAGGCUCUGAUACCAAUACAGUUCUCCCAUAUCGAAAAGAAUAAACAAUCACUUUAAGAGAUCGAAACUUCUAAAGAGAGAGUAAGAAGUAGAAGCAGAUGAGGGGUGAGAGAAUGAGUGGGAAGAUAGAACAAGACGGCUAAUUUUUUUUAUUCUCCAAACCCUAGAAAGUACACAUUUAUAUAACAUAACCCUAAUUACAAUUUGUUGGAAAUAACUAAAAUAUUCUAAAAUAAUAAUAUAUCUUUUCAUAAUUAGAAACUCCUAAUCUAGGAAUGUAUGAAAACCUAACGAAGGAAAAAAAAAAAAAAAAAGCUUGCGCCGACCUUGGGUUGGGCUAGUUCGAGCAAUGACAAGGGGCUAUCAAUGGCGCGUAGAUAGCUGACAGAGGGCAGCCGUGAAAAGAAGAAAUGGCGAGUAUACUAAGAGAAGUAUAAGGUCACUGUGAAAACGGUUUCAAGGGAAAAGAAACCUCAAUUCCCAAAAACACCGACUUAAGUAUAAGUUGCCAUCAAAUUGCACCGGGGUCUCUACUGUUCAUGAAAAUUUUCCUCCACACACCUUAAUUUUCUAUGUAAUAUUGUACAUAUGCUCCUCCAUUUUUCAAAAUUGCAAAAAAAAAUCACAUUAACUGAUAGAUUUUGCACUAUAGUCCUCCCAAGAAUUUAAAAUUUCACCCGAUUACUGCAGACAAAAUCUAAAUUCGUGCAUUUAUAUAUAUAUCUAUUAUAUUUCUAUUAAUCUAUUAACUUAUAUGAAUCCUUAAUAUUUUUUGCCACGUGGUAAGUUGUCCUUCACCCUCACCAUCAUUUAAUAUAUUUAAUACAAACUUUCAAUCUAUUAACUUAUAUGAAUCCCUAAUAUUUUUUGCCACGUGGUAAGUUGUCCUUCACCCUCACCAUCAUUUAAUAUAUUUAAUACAAACUUUCAAUCUAUUAACUUAUAUGAAUCCCUAAUAUUUUUUGCCACGUGGCAAGUUGUCCUUCAUCCUCACCAUCAUUUAAUAUAUUUAAUAAAAACUUUCAAUCUAUUAACUUAUAUGAAUCCCAAUAUUUUUUUGCCACGUGGCAAGUUGUCACGCCCCGAGCCCGCCUAUUUGGUCGGUUCGGGCAUGUCGAACAGACGCCGAACGGACAACACCUCUCCUGUCCGCUCAAGGCUCAACAAGACAUCAAACAUGUAUAUAGUAUACAUGGCUUGCACGAGGGCAAGCAAUAAUCAAAAGUGAAAGAUUCUAAACUAAACAUACAUACAAAUACUAUGAUUAACUUUUAAUCACAUACAUGCAUUCAACCACAUCUUAUAUUAACUUCUUUUCAUUCUUUUCUUAUACAUCACAUUUUACCCAAAAUUACAUCAUAUUCUUUCAUCCAAUAACUUAAGCUUUCACAUUAAUGCAUAAUUCAUACUACUAACAUCAUCAAAUACAAAAGAUGAUAAACGGGUAUGAAGCUAUACUCGGGUAGUCGCUAGCUAGGGUGCGAUACCCUUGCCACGGUCCUCGACCGCCUCACUCGGACCUAGAUCUGUGAAAAAUAGUGGGGUGAGAACUACAAAGAAGUUUCCAGUGGGUUCGACCGCCAACCUCGCCAACUUUUUCACCAGAUCUAAAUCAGGCAUAACAGAAGAAAUAAGCCGAUAGAUAAGUAACCAACUAUACAAAUGCAGCUAAUAUACCUGAACAAGAUAUACAAUAAGGAUGCUCAAUAAGAAUGCUCAUGAUGCAUGCAAGAUUCAUUGUCUAUUACCCAAUCCUCUCGGCUAACCCGUAGGUUUCGCCUACAACUUACCAACUCAAAUCCCCAUGAUUGGGGAGACUACUACGACCCGACGGGACCGUCUUCUGGGGAAAGCACCAACCCAGUGAUGACUACUCCGGAGCGCAUCGCUCGAGGAAGAGCGACCACCUUCAAGCCAAGACUUAUAGGCGAGUAUGAUCCAAAUCCUUAACUAUAAGGAUACCAAGUUCAAUCCAUUCCUUAACUAUAAGGAUGCAAUGUUCAAUCAUUUCCUUAACUAUAAGGAUGCCUCAACUAUGAAGAUGUCAUGUUCACAUAUUCUAUAAUGUCAAAUAUCUCAUUUUCUUGCAUUCUUUAUGUCACGCCCCGGGACCCAGCGGAAGGCCGCCCAGUGCGUGUCCAAACCCGCCAUAUAUCUAAAACAUAUAAGGCGUCUACAAAUAUGCGAUAAAUAAAAUAAUAGUAAAAGAGUAUUUAGGAGUAUCAGAGCAUACAACAACUAGGUUCUAGCAUAGUGAGGUAAAUAAAGGAAAUAAAUCUACUAAUAAAAGUAUGAGUAGUACAACAAAAACUCCCAAAAAUACAAGUGCUGAAGGUAUCACAGCGGUGGUCUCUAUACAUGGGUACAAAACUCACACUCUCUACAUAAACACAAAGAUAGAGAGAUGAACCACCUAUAAGCAAAGCUCCUCUCAACUAACUAGAGGCAAUUCCCUUGCCGCGAUCCUGAGCAUCUCCCGACGUGGAAGGCUCUGAAAGAAAAACAACAAAUAGGGAGCGUGAGAACUAUUAAACAAUAGUUUCCAGUGGGCAAUUACUGACCUCAGUGAAAUGCACCACCAGGCUAAAGGCAAAGGUAAAAUGCUCAGCUAAUAAACGGAAUGGACAACAUGUGGAUAAAAUAUGAAAUAAGCUUACUAACUACUAUGCCUCUACUUUAGCAUGAAUUUUCACAAUAGAAAUGCUAUUUUAACAUGAAAAUGCAUAAAUACAACCAACAAGAUGUUCACAAUGUAAUUAGUAAAAAUGUCAUUGUUUACUAAUUUGUCUAAUGUCUACUUUACAUUUUGGUUCAACUUGUUCCAAAUCUUAUAGGACCGAUCCGUAGGUAGUCCGGCUUGCGCCGUGCCUAAUGACCCCGUGGUAGUCAACAUUCCAACCCUAGGAAUGAGCCUUCCCUACGGCAUCCUAUUUCAGCGCCCAAUCCCGCACUGGCGAGUAUAUGUCACGAUGGCUAUCUCCGAAGUGCCGGCUCGUAGGGAGCGACCCUCACAAGCAUGUACGAAUGAGCACAAUGGCAAGCAAGCGUAUGUGUCCAACUCAAGUCCAAUGUCAUCAUGUCUAAAAUAUGGUAUAGGAGCUAGUGACCUCAAAGGCCUAUCACUAUGUCAUCUUGUAGAAAUUAAACAUUUACUAUGUUGAAUGCCCCUUUAUGGCAUUUGUCCACUAUGUCACACAAGAGUUCUAAGUCCAAGAGCAUAUUAUUCUCAUCCUUUUCAUUGCAUGAAACAUGAUUCCAUACCAUCAAAAUAGAAUGCUAACCAUAUGCAAGCUACAAUGCACAUAUCUCUCUCUACUACAUAGAGGCAUUUUUUCAUCAUACGUAACACAUGUAUUUUAAGCAUUCUAAAUAUCUCGUAUGCUCUAUCUAACACGAAUAUGCAUGCAUUUCAAUUUUAUAACAAUUAAAAAUUGGCAUAGGUGGAGUUCUUCUAUUUUCGAUGAAGUCAAACCCACCAAAACUCCUCGUAGCCCUUCAUUUGCACCGACGAAGGUAUCCACUACUCUCCUACCUCCCUAAAGGUAAUAUUAAGAGAGUUAAACUCAACAAACGAACAACCCUAAGGUCAAACAUUAAUCAACCCAAGAAAAGGCCAAAAUCUCACCUUGUAUGGUGAAAAUCUCUCUCAAUCUCCAAAUGAGAGUUAUAUUCCUUCAAAUCUAAUCUAAACAAAGGUUCUAAACCAAUCAAUUGGAAUCCAAAAGGCUCUAAUCAAAAAUUCCUAAAUAAACCCUAGUUCUACCAUUUCUAGGGUUCCAACAAGAAAAAUCCAUUUAAACAUGGAUCAAAUGUGGGGAAUAUGCUACUAACCUCUUUAGAAGCCUCCAACCACUCUAGGAACCAGCUAGGGUUGAAAACCUUCCCUCAAACAAGCUCCAAACAUCAAGCCAAACCUUCUCCUAUGGUGGAAAUAGCAGAAAGAAGCAAAAGAAGAGUUUAAUCUUCAAAAAUCCCAACUAAAAUGAAAGGAAAUAAAAGAGGGGAAGGGGAGAGCUCCCUUACCUUCUUCUCCAUUGGUCCAAGCUCAGGGAAACACCCAAGAGGCGUGGGUGGCUUUAUAGGGAAGCUACAAUUGCAAAAACACCCUUCAGGAAAAUGCAGUCUGCGAACUGCACUGCAUACAGGUACCAUCGGAGAAGAGUACCGGUACCAAACACUGUGCCCACAAAAUCGAGCCUCGGGUUGGCAGAAUAUUUGCACUGAUACCGGUAUAAGCCCGAUGCUGUACCUGUACCACCUCUGGUUCCGGUACCAAACCAAUGCUGUACCGGUACCCAGUUCUACAGAAUCCAAUCCAAGAGCAGCCUAAAAUUUCCUCUUUAGAGAUUUUAGGGCUACGUUUUAAAUCUCGAUUCUCGGGAUGCGAGCCAUAGGUCAGAACAUUGUCAACGACCCUUCAGAAUAUUCUGGAAAAGCCCGGAACACAGAUCAAACACUCGAACCUCGCAAUUUGCAAAGGUCCAGUGUGUUACGCUUUAGCUCUCAUUAGUAUCACAUACACUAAAUGUUCUUUAUACUCAUUCUCAUGCAUUCUUUACUCAUUAAUGCCACACACUGUGUUCAACUCUAGCAUUCAAUAUACUCAUUAAUGCCACACACUAUGUGUCCAAAUCUAGCAUUCAAUAUACUCAUUAAUGCCACACACUAUGUGUCUCACAUGUCAUAAUGUCACUAUGUUCUUUAUUGUCACUAGAUUCUUUGCCUCAUCUAAGUUUUUGUCACCUUUCAUACAUUCAUAGGGUUAAUACGUUCUCAAUAGUUUACUAACAUUUCGUAUGGAUUUUGUACUCACAACAUGCAAUAAUAUAUUCUCAAAUCAACCCUGGCCUACAAUGCAUGAAGUUCAUAUAUACACAUAUACUCAAGGAGUGAUACUUUAGACAUAAAGAAAAUUCAAGAAUUUCGGAUAGCACCACCCACCUCGUAGGAUUGCUAAGAUGCUACGGUUCGAAUUUCGUGAUUUUUAGCCGCCUAUUCUCUCGACUGCGGCAAAACGAAGCCAAAAUAAGCUUUUUCCUAAAUUUCUUUGCGUAGAUUCGUCGGAUCUUCGAACCGAGUCUCCCAACGCGUCGGUUUUACCUUCAAUUUGGUUUCUACAAGAUUAAUUUACAUUUAAACCAACCUAUAGCAAAAGCCCCAAUUUUAGAGCCCUAACAAUGCUCUAUAGCACAUACACUAUAUGGAUCUUGGAGAUAAACAAAAACAAGCUUAAUAUCAUCUAGAGAUCAAACUAAAACCAUUCUUAGGGCAUUUGAACCAAACCCUAGACAUCUACCAUGAGAGCUCAUGGAGCUUACCUCAAAAGCUAUCCUGUUCUUGAGCCAAAGAAGAAGAAGAAGAAGAUGCUUCACUUGCUAGCGUCCUUCUCCUCCAAGUCAUCCUCUUGAUCCACCUCUAAGAAAAAAGGAGAGACUUCUUAGAGAGAGAGAGUAUGUGUUUUGGGUGUUCUUUGGUUGUGAACAAGAGAGGAUGAGAUAGGGAGUUUUUAUAAGCUGCUACAAUUGCAUUUAGGCUCUCCAAUCUCUUUUAUUUGCAGCAGACUCAACCUGCUGUUCGCAGCACUGCGUAUCGGUACGCGAAAUUGCAUCACCGGUAAGCCCAUGUUCAACAGCCCAAACCUGAGAGCUGCUAUUCUUGGGUUGCUGCGGGGUAUAGGUACCAACCAAGGCUGUUACCGGUACGCAGCGCCCAGACCUCAAUUUUGGCAGUGCUUAGGCUCUAUUUAGCGUCGAGCAACGCUAAAACCUAUCAAUCUCACUUGGAACUCAACUUUAACCCCUCCAACAUCGCUGGAGUGUUGAAUGGAUUUUGUCCAACCAUCUCUCUCACCACGUUUUGGUCAAUUUGACUAAAGUUCGAUAUAACCUACCGAGAUUCGAUAUAUUACAAAGUUGUCCUUCAUCCUCACCAUCAUUUAAUAUAUUUAAUACAAACUUUCAAUCUAUUAACUUAUAUGAAUUCCUAAUGUUUUUUGUUACGUGGCAAGUUGUCCGUCACGCUCACCAUCAUUUAAUAUAUUUAAUACAAACUUUCAAUUAAUAUAUUUAAUUAAUACAUCUAAACAUUUCCAUUAUCAAACUUUUAAUGGCAAGUUGUUCUUCACCCUCACCAGCAUUUGACCAUUCCCUUUCCCUUCAUCAAACUUUCAAAUAAUACAUUUAAUUAAUACAUCUAAACAUUCGCACCACCAAACUUUUCCUCCACCAAAUUUUUUAUCUCUAAUUAAUUCAUCAAUUCUCUCUCCCUCAUCUUUUCCCAUACACCGUCACUUCCUUCCCUCCUCUCAUUAAUGUCUGCCCAUCUCCCCCCUCCGUUACGGACGAAGGAAUCGUCGUCUUUUUUACUAUCACCGUUGCCGGAGAAGGUGUCGUCGAUUUCAUCCCCGUUGCCAAUAGUGAGGGACUUUCGUGGCUGUGACAAAUGAGGUACUCAAAAAAAUAUUUGAUAUUCUCCUAUUAUUAAUUACUCCUAUAAUUUUUAUCCACUGCGAAACGCGGGUUAUUCCACUAGUAGAUAUUACUACCCAUAGAUAUUUAGCACUCUUAGAUUUAUAAAACAAAAAAAAAAAACAAAAUGUUUCGGCUUCGGGCUUGGGCCGGACUUCUUUGUUUUCACUAAUUUGGGCUAAAGUUCAAUGGCAUGGUAAUAUAAUUACUUUCGGGCUGGGCUUGGACUUGGGUUGAAACCCUUCUUUCGGGAAGUCACGUGUCACAACCCCUCUCCUAUUCUGGCCAGUCGUUAAUAAAAGAGAAACAAAGAGGAAGAAGAAGAUCCAGAUCGGAAAGGAGGACGCCGGGAGCCAAGAGUGAUGGGGACGACGAUCCAUUCGUUGGCGCCGGGGCUGUCUCGCAAGCUGAAGAAGGUGCUGGAGACGCGCACGGACAGCCCGGAUCUGCUGGCGUCGCUGGCCGCACUCUCCACCUUCUACAGCGACAACACCCCGCAGGCCCGCCGCAAUCUCAAGUCCUCCAUCGAGCAGCGCGCCCUCUCCAUCAACCGCCACUUCCUCGACGCCUCCCUUCCCGCCCAGCAGGUCUGCCCCUCCAUUCUGCCCUUGCCCUGCAUCCUCCUCUUCCCUCCUCCUCCUCCAUUCCUGCUUCUUGUAGACUCCGCUAUUAUUAUUGUUAUUAAUCCGAAGGAGGCUUUCGUGAUUUACAGGCGCUGGAUAGAGUCGAGAACGAGGUCAAUGCCUUGACCCAAUGCUGCGAUCAGUAAGUUUCCCCUUCUGUCCUUCUCUCGCUCUUCCGCAUCGACAAAUACAGUAGUUUGUUUCAACGUCUGCGCUGUUCUCUGACAUCUUUCCAUAGAAACCACUUGUUUUGUUUUCUUAUGCCGGGUUGUUGCUGAAGUAGAUAAUGACUUAGCGAUCUAGAAGUCAAUUCUCUGAAAAUUUCUUGUACCGCCGCCUGCCUUGAGAGAGCUUGCAAUUCGAAGCGCUGCAAGUUUAGCAGCACAUUUACAUUCAGCAAACUUGUCAUUUGUUUGGUAAUAUCUGCAUAUUAAAUGCUAUAAAGGAAUGUCUGAGAAAAGCAACAUCAGCAAAAUGUUACUACUGAUGGUAGCACGGUAGUAAAAAUCCCGUGAGAAAGAUGGGUUAACAUGCACCAGAAUUGGUGAACUGUAAAGGAGGAUGGUUUUGCAUGUCUUUGAAUCCUUUAUUUUAUUGGCCUUCCCUUUAAGAGAACCACACAAUGGCAUUGUGUAUUUUGGCGUACCUUGUUCUUUGUGAUGCAGUUGCUCUUCAAAUUUUUUACUUCUUCAUUUGCUUACUUCUUUUUACUGUUCGAUGUAUUUGGGUUUAUACUUUGUUAUUUGUUUUUGCAGAAUUGAGAAAGUAUUAAGCAAUUGUAGCGCAAGUACAGGAGAUAUCAUCAGCACUACAGAGAGGUUACAGCAGGAACUUGAGAUAACUACUCAACGACAAGAAAUUGUGUCAUGUUUUCUUCGUGAUUAUCAACUUUCAAAUGAAGAGGUACUGUGUAAAGAGUGACUAAGCUCCAAAUUAUAAUAUAAACUUUGUUAUGUACUGCAAAAUAUAUUAAUUGGAGUUCUGUCUUUAUCUAUAUUCUAUAAUUACUUUUGCUUAUCUGUCUAUAGAUAAAUGCACUUCGGGAGGAUGAGUUAAAUGACAACUUCUUUAAGGCACUUUCUCAUGUUCAAGAGAUUCAUGCCAACUGCAAGAUACUCCUGCGGACGCAUCACCAGGUAUACUCUUUGUUCCUCAUGAGAGUUUAUCUAUUAUCCAAUCAACUUUAAGCACAAAAUGCAUUUAUAAACUAGGAUAGUACUUGUCACGCCCCGGGACCGGCAAAGGCCCUCCCGGUAGCGUGCCCAUACCCGCCAUAUGUCAGCACAUAUAAGGCGUCUACAUCAACAGCGGAAAAUAAAACCAAAGAUAAUCAACAUCUAGUGAUAUCAGAGCACAAAUAGAUCUAUCAUCUACAACAAGGUAAAAGAAAAAUACUAAAGCAAUAAGAGUGAAACAUAUAGUUAUACAAUAUCUGUCCAAAAUAGUACACAACAGGGUGGUCUCUAAUACAUUGGUACAGCUCUCAACCUCUCCAAAGAAAACAAAUGGGAGGUGGACCACCACUCGCUAAAUCCCUCGCUAGCUAGCCCAAGGCGAUACCUUUCUCGCGAUCCCGAGCCUCUUCCGAAGUGGAAGGCUCUGAAAGAAGACAUAAAAUAGGGGGCAUGAGAACUAUAAAUUAUAGUUCCCAGUGGGCAAUUACUGACCUGCACCAAAUUGCACCACUAGGCCCAAAGCAUAAACAGAUAUAGAUAAGGAGAUGUAACUGCGGAAAAGAAAGCAUGUAGAGAAGGCUAUACAACAAUGCCACAAGUAUUCUGAAUGUCAACAUGGAGUAUAUCUACUCUACAUGAUCCAAUAUGCCGAAACUUAAACAAUAUGUUAUGAUGCAACAAGUAAUGCUAUGAAGUAUGCUAUAUGUGCCAAAGUCCACUACAUAUCUAGUAUGUACUAUCAUAGCAACCAAAAAUACUACAAUGUAAUAAGCGAUACUGUCAAGUAUACUAUAAGUCCAAAUGUCCAACUCUAUGCCAUAGCAUAUCAAGAGUUUAACUACUAUAACCUAGCUAGUAGCGAAUGUUAGCUUGUUGUUUAAUAUUCUGGUUCAAUCUCAAUCAGGAUCUACACGGGUGAAGUCCGGCUUGUGCCGCCUAAGUGCCUGUGGUAGCCCAACAUACCUGCUCUUGGAAUGUGUCUGUCCCACUCGACCCCGUAGGCUUCUCAAAACCGCACGAGCGAAUAUAAGUCGCGUAGGCCAACUCCGGAGUGCCGGCUUGUAGGGAGCGACCCUCACAAGCAUGUGCGAAUGAGCACAAAUGGCAAGCAAGCAUGGUCAAUACCUCAAUAGUCCAGUCGUCACGUCUCCAACAUGGUAAUAGCCACUCAACAGUCAUCAUGUCUCUAACAUGGCAAAAGUCACUAGCAUCUCGAAGAUCUAGUUUAAUGUCUCAAUGUGAAGAUUUAACCGUUCAAUAAAAAUUCUAUGUCAUUGACCUUAGAUUUACUAAGUCCAUAAGUAUUCUAAGCCUAAUGCCUCUUUAUGAUAUUAGCUCACUAGAUUCAUACAUGUCCCAGGCUCAAUGUCGCUUUAUGACAUUGGCUUAUCCCAUUAACAAUAGGUUAAUACGCAUGUUCUCCAAUGUGAUCUCAUAUUACUAAUGUGUACCACGCAUGCAUUCUACAAUGCAUAAAGAUGUUAACAUGUAUCUAUCCACAGAGCAUAGUUCUCAUAAUUAUUAACAUGCACAUGCAAUUCGCUUAUCCAUCAAGUCUAAUGUCCCUUUAUGGCAAUAGGUUUAUUAAGUUCACAUAUAUGCCAAGCCUAAUGCCUCUUUAUGACAUUAGUUUGAUAAAUCCAUAUCUAGUCCAAGCCCAAUGCCUUUUUAUGACAUUGGCUUACUAUACUAAGCAUGGGUCAAAGUCCAUAAGUGCAAUGCACACAUCAAUUUCACUAAAUGAAACAUGAUCCACAACUAAGUAUGAGAAUGCUAACCAUAGGCCCCAAGCCCAAUAUAAAAACUCUCUACUUUAUGGAUGUCAAAUAUGCAUCGUACAUAGCAUGUGCAUUUUAAGCAUUAUAAAAUUCUCAAAUAUUCUAUCAAGCAUGAUUAGGCGUGCAUUUUUAUUUUACGAUAAGCAAAACCAUCAAAUAAGAAUUUUAUUUCAUUUUGGUGAGGUCAAACCCACCGAACCGUCGCGUAGUCCCUCGUUUCGCCGAACGGAGUUGUCCACGAGUCUCUAAGCACCCUAAAAGUAAGGAGCGAAGAGAUACACAAGUAUUACGAGCAACUCUAGGCUCGAACAUUAACAAUCACAAGAAAAGGGUAAAAACUCACCUAGGGAGUAGAAAAUCUUUCCCAAGCUCCAAAAGAGAGCUAAAUCUCUACCAAUCCAACCCAAAGGAGGGUUCUAAUCCAAGUAAUCAAGCUCCAAAAGCCCUAAAUUUAAAAUGCCCAAAAUAAACCCUAAGUCUCUAUUCUAGGGUUUCAUCUCAAAAAUUCUAACAAAACAAGGAUCAAAAGGAGAAAACAAGUUUCUAACCUCUCAAGAAGCCCCCAACUAGGGUCCAAAUCAAAAGGGGUUGAAGUUCUCCUCUCCAAUAAACUCCUCUCCAAGAUCCAAGCCUCUAACAAUGGUGAAGUUGGCACCAAAGAGCGAAAAGAGAAGUUUAAUCUCUUAAAAUCCCACCAAAAUCCAAGAAAAUCAAAAGGAAAAUCAAGGAGGGAUCCCUUACCUCUAUUCCUGCUGUGGCAAGCUCAGGAGAAAGCCCUAGGGGCGUGGGGUGCUAUAUAGAAGACCACAAUUGCGAAAAACUCCCUGCAGUUCAAACUGCUCAAAAACUGCCACUGUGUACCGGUACACGGGCCCCCGUACCGGUACACAUCCCACGAAAAUGCCAAACCCGAGCCUCGGGUUGGCUGGGAAGCUGCCUGUGUACCGGUACACGAUCCCGUACCGGUACAACCAUCAACCCUGUACCGGUACAGCCAUCAACCCUGUACCGGUACGCAGCCUGCUGAAGGCUACCCGAGAGCUGAGCAAAAAUCCGACUUUUCGGGUUUUGGUGCAAAGCUUCAAACCUCAAUUCUCGGGGUACAACCAUAGGUUGGAACACUGUCAACGACCCUCCAGAAUAACUGGAAAAAGCUCGUAUCAUAGAUUAAACACUCGAACCCGCAAUUUGCAAAAAUCCAGUGUGUUACAGUACUGGCUUCCCGAAAAGAUUUGACUCGUAUGAUAAAGCAACAAAAUUUUGGACUUGAGCCUCCACUUGUUUUGCUUGAAUAAGUGCAGAUCCUGAUUCUUUCAGUCAUGCAUUGAAUCCUUAAACUUGCAAAUUGUGCUUCUUGGUUCUUUUGAUGUAAAAGUUUGUACUUUAAAUCUUUUGCUGUACAUGUGCUUGCUCUCUGUGCCAUAUAAAUCAGAUUGUGAAUGUGCCUAGUCAUCUGCAUCAUAUCUUUAACAGCUUAUACAGUUCAGUUCGCUGCAUUUUACUGUUUGUGGUCCCUUUGUUGUCCUGACUGUGAAUGAUUCAGCAUCUUUAUCUUUCCAUAUUUUAUUUAACAAUCUUUAUUUUCUCUUUUUUUUUAUUUAACGAAUAUGUUCAAUCUUGCCUUCUUCGUGAGGUGUUUUCUUGCCCAUUAAUUUAAAAUUUAACAAUCUUUAUUUUCUCUUUUUUUUAUUUAACGAAUAUUUUCAAUCUUGCCUUCUUCGUGAGGUGUUUUCUUGCCCAUUAAUUUAAAAAAUGUCUCAAUGGAGCAAGGUUUUACAACUUACAACCAUGCCAUUUGGGUAUGCAAUGCACUCAAGAAAAUGAUAUUUGUGAUGGUGCAUGCAUAGGUUCCUUGGUACAUACAUAUAUGUUCUGAUGUGUUUGGCUUAAAAAUAUUCAAGUAUUCAAUCUUUGGCAGUUUGAUGGAAAUUCAGAUGCUUAAGCAAUUUAUAGAGAAAAUACAGUGUGUAUAAGAACUUUUUUUUUAUCCUGGUCAUAUAUAAUUGUUAUGUAUUAGUGUUUCGGCAUGAACUUGGCUGAUAUUUCCUUUGCACAGCGUGCUGGUUUGGAGCUCAUGGAUAUGAUGUCUGUUUACCAAGAAGGAGCCUAUGAGAGAUUGUGCAGGUAGUAUCUGUAUUUUAUUGUACUAGUCUUGCUUAAUCAUCAUUGUGCAGGUCGUAAUUAUAUCUGAUUCUAUAUGUCUCCCUUGAACAUCUAAAGUUAAACUAUUCUGCUAGUUCUUGUUGGCUGCUUAUGUCUGCAGGUGUUAUGUCUUGAUAUGUUGAUUAGACAAGGUUCAACUGAGUCUACUAUUGAUAUUUGAUGAUAGUCGGCCUUAUGAAUCACCAUAUUUGAAUUCUUGAAUGUUUAAAUUCUGUCAUAUCUUCGCAUGCUCAUAAUAGUGUGAAUUGCUGUUGAUUUGCAUGCUGCAGAUUAUAGUCAUAUGCAGCCAAAGAUUGAGAUGCUUCUUGAAUUUUGUUAUUAAAACAUUUGAUUUCUAAUUUUAAGUAAUGGACUAUGUGCUGAUAACCUCUGAAUUUUGAGUGGUUAGUAAACCUCAAUGUUAAUAAGAUUAUAUUAGUUUGGUUAAUCAUUGAUGAGGGCAUGAUAUUCGAUCUGUUAACAAAUUGGAUUAAGGAAGAAGCUUUCUUUUUUAAUUUCUAGAAAUUUCUAGAAAUUCCUAGAAAAUUGGAUUAUUUAUAGAAAUUCCAAAAAAUCUGAAAAACUCUUGAAAACUUUAUCAAAAUUUCAACAAAAUCUAUUAAAACUACUUCCUUCACAACGCAUCCUUUCUUUCACUCUAAGGCACCAGAAAGCCCACUCCCUCCCUAGCAAUCUAGAAAACCUAUAUUUGUAAAAUCCACCUCGUAGGACCCUCUAUCCCAUCGUAUAUCAUUAGGGUCUUCAUGCCUUCUGAGAAUAUUGCUAUAUUGAAUGUUUUUAAACAUGGUCUAAAUUGCUAGGAGUGCACUGAAUUUUUUUCUCUAAUCCUGAAAGAUAUGGUAAAGCUGCUACGUGAUAACCAACAGCGGAAUGUUAAACAACAAAGAAAAGAUUGAUACUAGGAGACAGGAAGAAAUAAGGUGAAAUGGUUGACAAGGGUUGACAUGGAAUAAGAAAUAGAGCUGGGAAAAUGUGAAGACGGCCUAUACUCGGCUUAUAAUUUAAGAAUUCAACUCAUAAUCCUGUCCAUCUUUUAGUUACCUGCAAUAAACUCAUUUUGGCUAGCCUAAUUGUAAUGUAAGUUUGCUCUAGGACAUAAAAAUUGGUCCAAUUAAAGAAAGAAAAAAAAAACUUGAGAUUAAUCAAUUUACCAUGGUUAAAAUUUUAAGUACUGUCAAUUUUUUGUUUUCUUAACAUAAGAUACAGCUAGGAUUGCAAAAAUUAGUAGUUUGAGGAAAAUAGAUCCCAGUAAGAUUGGGCCCCUUGACAUUGGAUAGUCAAGUAGUAUAAAUGUAUAUAUCUGAUUCAUGUAGGCCAACAAAAUUCCGUGUGAUUUCUUUUAUGAUCGUAUCUGACUAUCCUUUUCCAGGUGGGUCCAAGCUGAAUGUAAAAAAUUGGGUGAUAGUGAUAAUCCGGAAGUCGAUGAUCUUCUUAAAAAGGCUAUUCGUUGUCUAAAGGAAAGGCCUGUUCUUUUCAAGUACUGUGCAGAAGAGGUAUGGAGUAUGUUCUGAUUGAUUGCAAUCCCUUUCAGCAGUUAAGAUCUAAUGGUGAAUGACCCAUGUGCCUUAGGUCGCAAAUAUGAGGCAUCAUGCUUUAUUUAGACGGUUCAUAAGUGCUCUUACUCGAGGGGGACCUGGAGGGCUACCAAGACCAAUUGAAGUGCAUGCGCAUGAUCCUUUACGCUAUGUAGGUGAUAUGUUGGGGUGGCUACAUCAGGUGUGUCUCUUAUUCUACUGCAAAGUUCGGUAAAACAGCUUUAUCGCUUUAUCUUACUUUGUCAAUUUUGGUUGUAUGAGAAGGCUCUAGCAUCUGAAAGGGAACUUAUAAUUGCGUUACUCGAUCCGGAUGCAAUGACUGAUACUGGACCUAUUGCUCACCGUCUUUCCGGAAAUACAGAUAGUGAUUCUCUGAAAACAGAGCCUGCGAUAACCUUUGUUCUGGAUAGAAUAUUUGAAGGGGCAUGUCGACCAUUCAAAGUUCGAGUUGAGCAAGUUUUGCAGUCUCAACCUAGCCUCGUUGUCUCUUACAAACUUAGUAAUACUCUGGAGUUCUACAGUUCUACAGUGAGUUUGAUCUGUAUGUCAUCAUUUACUAAAUUCAAUGUCUCACGGGUCUUACAUACUCUUUUCCUUCUGUAGAUAACAGACUUGUUGGGCAGAGAAACAGCUCUUUGCAAUACACUCUGGGCACUCAGAGAUGCUACUCAGCAAACAUUCUUCAAUAUUUUGAAGUCUCGGGGAGACAAACUGCUGAGGUACCCUCCUCUUAUUGCUGCUGAUCUAUCUCCACCGCCAGCCCUUCGGGAAGGAAUUUCUUUGUUGCUUGAGCUCAUAGAUACAUACAAGAGAAUGAUGGUACCUGCCUCUGGCAAAAAGCCUGAUUUUGAUUUUGUAAUUACCACUUUACUUGAUCCCAUUAUUCAGGUGAGGAGUACUUUUCCUCCUUUAAUUCUUGCUUGCUAAAGUUUGAAGUUCUCUGCAAUAUUUGUUCCCUACAAAUGUUGUGAAUCAUUUAUCAGGCAACUACAGAUAUUUUACUUUGGAAAUUCAAUGUUCUGAAAUGCAGUAUGCGGUAUUCUUGCAGUUGGCACAUAUGUGGUCCAGCUAUUAAAAUAUUAGAAAAUAUUUAUAGCUAUUAAAAAUAUAUAAUUAUAUAUAAAUGCUUUCCAACAAAGUAAAAUAACUAAGGUAAUAAUUCAGAAUUCACAAAUUGAAAUAAUUAAUUUCAAGUAACGGAACUCAUAUGCACACAUGUACCAAUAAACUAAUUAGCAAUUUACACUUAAGUAGAUAAAUAAAUAGAAUUUUGACAAAAAAUCAUAAAAAUUGUCAAACAAGUAUUAAUGUUCCAAAAAGCAGCAUACUAAACUUUUAUGAAGAAUAAUAAUUUUUCAAUAAUCAUUCAUGUCAUCAAACACGUCAUCAUUUAUAUAUAUAUAUAUAUAUCAAAUAACAUCCGACAACUACAAAAUUAUUCACUAAUAUUUAUAAAUAUAAUUAUUGGAUAUAUUAGGUAUAAUACCUACUAAAAUAAGAAGAGAGAUAGUUAAGUUAUAUUUAUAUAAAGAUAAUUGCAUUUCUAUGCAAUAUUAUUAACUAAACUUGUAUGAAGCAUAUGCGGGCUCAUAUGAGGCCGCCAACCGCAUAUGUACCGCAUAUGGGGUCGGGCUGCAUAUUGCAUAGCAUGUUACAUAUGCAGUGUAGUUGAUGGUCCGAAUCGCAUAUUUGGCCGCAUAGUCUGCUUUUUCAAACAUUAGAAAAUUCCUUAAGGUUUAACUGAUUCGUGACUUUAGUAUUGUAUGCAUCUCUUGGUCUUUAAAAUAACCAAUAAAAGUUACCCUUUUCUUCACCAACUAAUUACAAUUUUCUUUUUUUCUUUUACCCCUCUGGCAAUAAGUUCUCCCUUUUAAAAUUAACUUCGAACUGUGAAUUCAUGUGAGUAUUGAUAGGAGUAUAAAGCAUGAAUAAUGAAUUUGAGCUAGACUUCUCAAGGAGAAGAUACUUAUCAAUUAUAUAGAAAGCUGUUACCAUGUUGAACGCGAGGGUGAAUCUCUUUCUGAUGCUUCAAACUUGUUAUUAUCAAUGUCGAACUGCAAAUUUACAUGCGCACUGAUGUAGGUAUGGUGCAUGAAUUUGAACUAGACAUCUCAAUGAGAAGAUAUGUUUCAAAUAGAAAGAGAGGUGCUAAUAUCUGGGUGAAUAUCUGUCUUGUGUUUUAGACUUCUUAGAGAGACACUAGUGUUACCUGUCUGAUCAGUCUAUAUAGAUGCUGGUGUUAACCAUGUCUCCCCUCUCAGUUGAUGUGCGUUUGCACUAUAAUUGUACAGGACAUCUAGGUCUACCUGUUACUAUUAAGUGGUUUGCGGCUGACAUUGCCUAUAUUAAUGUAUUACAAUUCGGAGCAUGAUAUACUCAUAUAUUUUAAGAAAAAGGAAAAAUAGGAAAUGAUUACUCUUCAGAGUCUUUAGUUGUUGGUUUAUUUGCGCUGACAAUUCAAAUGUUUUUAUAGAUUUGUAUUCAAGAGAACCUGUGGGAAUCAAGUUUUUGUCUGUUUAAUUGGGGCAACACUUAGUAUGCUUUUUUCACUUGCAUCAUGUAUGUUCCUUUUAUACAGCCACUCCAUGUUCAAUUUAUCCAGCCUUUGCACUUACAUAAUGGUCUAAUAUCAAUGGAAGGUAUUAGUGGAAGGAGUGUGGAAGGGGCCAUGAAUGAAAUAUAAUUUGAUUUCUUCAAUUGGUGUUUUCAGGAAACAUCCGGUUAAAUUCAAUCAGCUAAAAGUUGCAUAUCAUCAUUAAAUCAUGUAUAUUGGACCUCAUGAUAUCCUUUCAUGAGAUUAUCAUAUGUUUCUUUAUUAGCGAAUUAUUUGGAAUGGUUGAAGUUGUCUCUUGCAUCUAUAAUUGAUUUCCUCCCAAUUCAUGGAUGAAAGAAACUUGUCUGUUCUGCUUCUUUCUUGUGAUUUCGGAGUUGUUUUGUGCUCUCCAUAGGCUUCAAAAUGAAGGUCUUUAUGAUUGGCUAAAAUUUGUCAGUUGUAACUUGAAUUAUUAUUUUAUCUUUUAGAUGUGUGAAAAAGCAGCAGAGGCCCAGAAGUCUAAAGGAGGACAUUCAAGGAGAAGAACUAGUUCUGAUCCUAGUCCAAAUAUCAGAGAGUCCUUAUCUGUUGAUGCUAUUCUUGCCAAGAGUGUCUCUACGUCAACGCAGGUUUCUUUCUUUGGAUUAUUACUUUUACAGUAUACUUCCGGCAAUCAGUCAAUUUUAUUUUUAUUCUUGAUCAGUAAUACUCUUCAGCUAUGUUUGUGACAAAAAGGAUCUACUUCAUAUAGCUUGAGUAUCGUCCUGCAAGACCCUAAUCAUUUUGGAUAUUAUAUCUCAUGAUAUAUGAUUUAAUACGUGGAAAAAUAUUAAUUUGCAAGUCUUUAAUAAGCAUUUGUAUUGAAAAGUAUUUCUGGGUAUGGCACAUAUUAUGUAGCAUCAUUUGUAAUGGUAUUAUCUAUAACCCUACAACACCUGGCUUUGUUGCUCAGUCAUAUAACAUCACAUUCCAUGCAUGGUAAUUUAUGCUAAGUGUGCAGUCUAUUAUCUAUCUAUACCUAUAUAUGAUUUCUCAUGGCUAUAUGAUUUCUCUUGGCCAAAUCCAACAUGGAUGUACCACCUUCAUUUGAGGAUGGUGGGACCCACUAUUUGUUUUAAAUUAUUUUCUAUUCUCUUUUAUCGUAGUAAAACCCUUCCUCUCCCUCACAGCCACAUCCUUCAACUCUCUUUCUCUCUCUCUUUUCUUUUUCCUCCCAUUUCUUACUUUCCAUUAUCUCCCAAACCGAUAGACGAUAGUGGCGUCUCUCCCUCUCCCCUCACCUACGUAGCGAUUUUGGAUCUCUCUACCCAUGAUUUUAGAUUUUUCUUUUUCCUUCCCCUUUUUUCUCUCGCUCGUCGCUCGGAGUCGUUCGGCCUCCAUCCGCUGCUCCUUAUGCGUCCUCGACAAGGAUAUUGUAUGGUGCCAUCGCCGACUGCCCCAUUCUCAACAAUCAUGAAAUAUCUAUAUUCCCAUGUUUUCAUUUUUUCCAUAAAUUUUUAUUUUUUCUAUUAUCUACCCAUCGCAUUGCGCGGAUUACUUCACUAGUGUAGCAUUAUUAGUGAUGGUACUAUUGGUUACCCUACUACCUGGCUUUGUUGCUAACUCAGUUAUAUAACAUCGCAUUCAAUGGUUAGUAAUUCAUGCUAAGUGUGCAGUCUAUUGUUUGUCUCUAGUACAAACUUCCAUGUGGAAAUCUUAACCCAGUGCUCACAAAAUCUCUCGUGUAAAGAUUUCUCAUCUACCUAUGACUAAUUUAUCCUCAACAGUGUUCAUAUGCCUAUCAGCUAGGUUCCUCCUUGGAAUAGACUUCCUAGCAGGGCCACUUGAGCGAACCCUCCAAUAUUCACCCUACAAAAUGCAUUUAUGUUCCUUGCGGCAGCAACUCAAUAAGUCCAUGCGUUGGCGCCAAGCAUCUGAAUGUAGUUAAUGAAUGGGAGAAAUUUUUUAACACACUUCUUUCCUUUGCAAAUUCAUAUGCUUAAAAUUGCUAAGAAUAAUGAGAUGAGAAAGACAAACAGUUUGAAAAAGUCUGAUUGAAGAAUAUUAAUGACUAAGCUUUUGCAAUUGAAAUACCAUCUCUGCGAGGAUGGAGAAACUGUUUGUAAUCCUUGCAGAAACUGUUUGUAACCAGCUUACUUGACUAACCGUGAUCUUGCUUAGUUCCCUCUAGGAAAAGUUGAAAAGCUAUUAUGGCCACCAUAUUACCAGUAACUUGGUGCAUGCUCCUCUCAAAUAUUUAAAACAACCAUAGAUACGAAGAUUCUCAUUUGAAAUUGAUAUUCUAAUUGGCUGGUUAAAUCUCUGAAACUACAUGUUGUGGAUAAUUGUUACUCUAUAGACCAUUAUUUUAGUUACUUCUUUGUUAGUUGUGUGUUUUGAUAUCUUAGUUCUGAUUUCUCUUUUUGUUACUAUAUUCUUAUUGCAGAGUGUUGAAACUUCGUCAAAGAUCUACCUCAUCAACUGUUUGUCAGCUAUUCAGGAACCUUUGAUAGGAGAAGAGGUUGCUGCAAGUUAUGUGAGUAACUUGUGCUCUGCUAUUGAGAAGCACAUUAGUAUCCUUGUGGACGACGAAGUUGAUGCCAUUUUGCGGAGAUGCGGUCUGCUGAAUAAGAUGAUGUACAUACAAGACUCUGCUGACUCUGCAGUUAGUUCUACUAAUGAUGAGCCUCGGCCCUUGGCAGAAAUUGAGGAAAUGUCACCGCAAGUGCUUUCCGAAUGUUUAACAGCAUUCUUUGGUCUGGUGACUGGAAGUGAAGGCUCACUCCCGGAGUUUGAGCUGUUGCAAGUCCCUAGGCUGCGUUUGGAUGCAUGUUCUCGUGUGGCUAGGGCAUUAGCAGGAACUUAUGAUCUCAUCUAUCAGGCAGUGUCGGACCCGAAGAAUCAUUAUCCAGACCCUAGGUCCUUAGUGAAGCAUUCGCCGGAUCAUAUACGAACCAUGUUGGAAAUCUGAAACCUUUGUCAGUAACUGUAUGCCUGAGUGUAGUUAGUAUCAUUUGAUCUAUCUUGUUACUGCUUUUGCUUGGCUGGGCAAACUGCCUUUACUGUAUAAAUUUCCGUUCAAACCAUUAUGUUUUCACAAAUAUGAAUCAAUUUUUUGUUGUUCUGUAAUAUCAUUUUGAAAGUAUCGGAGAAAGGUUCCCAAUUUUCAGGUCUGCAUGCUAGAUCUACUUGACACUUUGAACUGGUUAAUGUUUUCUUGAGAGGAUAAGGCGCAACAUUUUCUGUUUCCUGACAGAUUUAAGUGCAUUGACGACAAGUUAGUUAUACAAUACGUUAAAAUUUGGUGAUUGUCCAGUCCUAUGUUAUCAAGAAAUUUGUAAGUUUUUUAAUCUUUUUGUGCUGUGCAAGAGGGAUUAUUACAACCUUUUUUAAGUCGCACACUGACUGUUGGAAUAGCGCCUGUGAGAAAGUGAGGUAGAGAGAUUGAGUUUAGCUUCAAGACGUGCAGCAAUUAUACUCUUCUUAAGACUCAAUCCGUUUACAUCAAACAUCUAAAUUGGUGCGUCCUAGAUUAUCGAACAAUCUCUCAAGAUAUAAUGAAGCACAAUCACUAGCUGCGUUUGCCCAGACAAUUAAUUCUUUGAGCACUUUCAAAGUGUAGCAAAGUUGUCAAUGUAAUUUGAUUUCUGCAGUAGUUGUAUCAAGUAAAAGAAGUAGAGCAUUACCGGAGAGUAAUUAACUUGAAAUGAUUGGUUUUUCUUAGUCUUAUCAUUUGGUCGCCAUCACAGCACAGGCACUUGUCAUUUGGUGGCCAUCACAACAAACACACACACACACACACACACACACACACACACACACACAUGGUUUUAAAGUCUGUCGGUUGCAACAUAAUUACAAAUGAGUCGUUCAUUUCAUUCAUCUCUGUAUUUUCAAUCAAAUGAUAACCGCAAUAUAACGCCCGGUAAUAAUUCUAAUUCAAUUUGUUAGUGUGAAUUAAUUUUUUUCUCAACAUUUGUGAUACCUCAAGAAUUUGAAAUAAUUAUGACAAAUCUUUUAAUCGAUCUAUAAUAUUUUAUGUAGUGGCUAUAUUUGGACUAGAGUAGUUUUAGAAUAAAUGACUCUCUUUAGAAAGCGGGACGUCUAUAAUAAUCUGGCCUACCAACAAUAAUAACUGAUUGGACCAAACCAUCGGCCCAAAAUAUUUAAGCCUAGUAAUUAUUACUAGUGUUCAUGGUCUCUUAUAUAUCCAAUUUAGGCCAAAGCCCUAUCACACAACCCAAAAUCAUCAGGUGAUGUGAGCCUUGUCUCACCAGCCUUGUACUCUUCUGGUGAUUGACUUUGAUACCAAAUGUAACGACCCAGUCCACUACAAAUAAUAAGCUCAGUUAUUAUUAUCAGUUUCCAUAUUCUCUUAUAUACCCAAUUACAACUCUAUAUUCUCUUAUAUACCCAAUUACAAUUCUAUUUUCAUAAGAUGUGGGGGUGUUACAAUGUUACACAAUUAUUACAUUUUACACACUGAAGAUUAAAUAGUCUUCAUCAAUUCUAAAGUAAUGCCCCUACUACUAUCGUUAUUACAUUUCACAAACCAACGAUUAAAUAGCCUUCAUCAAUUCCAAAGUAAUGCCCCUACUAAAUAGGUGCAUCUAUUUGAAGUAAGAUUUCAUGUCAAGUACAUAGUUGUCAUAAAACCGACUUAUUAAAUGCAUCAACCAUUCAAAGAAUAAUAACUAUUCUUUAGGCCAAACCGAAUAGAUUUUAUUUGCUAUUAAUAAAAUAGGAACAUUUUCAAUUUUAAUUAAUUUAAAAGUUCUCUCAAAAAGAUGAUCUUAUUCCUAGAUUUUAGAACUUCGAGGUUUCAUAUAUUUGCGCUUAGUGCGGCAAGUGCUGAUUUGGCGAAUCGAGUUAGUUUGUGCAUUGACAAAGCCCUUAGCAGGUUCCUCCACGCCGUGCACAGCAAAAAGUUAAAGAAUAUACCACUAUAAAAUCUGAUUGUAAUUAAGCAAUCUAACACCGACCGUCCCUAGAGCAAGUGGCAAAGGGCUUGGUGGUUGGUAUCCGAGACCCAAGUUCGAAUCCUAGUUGAUUCACAUUUCUAGCUAAGUUUAUUUCUAUAUGAAAAUAAACAAAGUGGGUAGCGUGCUAUCUAUCUCUCAAAAAAGAAAAAAAAUUAAGCAAUCUAACUAAUUCGUGAUAAUUUCAGAAAAUUGAACUCACAAAGGAGUGCUACAACUUGAAGGAAAACGAACUACAAAACUUUUAAUCUGAAAGCGUGUGAGGUGCUGCCCUCAAGCAUAUUUUCAUCCUUCAUGCUGGAUUAACUAAAAACAACACUUCAAGAUACGACCGAAAUUCCUCAUAUAUAUAUAUAUAUAGAGAGAGAGAGAGAGAGAGAGAGAGAACUAAGUUGAAAUACUAUUAAUUGCACCAAUGACUUAGGGGUAUUAAGUUUUCUGUCCUUGAAUUAAAAGAUGUGCUGUUAGGAUGAUGUGGGCCCCCUAGGGUUGAGUGGGUGGUAAAAAUACUUCGUGCUAUCAAUAGUAUUCCAGCCAGACUAUCUAUCUAUCUAUCUAUAUAUAUAUAUAUAUAUAUAUAUAGAGAGAGAGAGAGAGAGAGAGAGAGAGAGAGAGAGAGAGAGAGUCCGGCUACUAUACUCUUAUGAGUACGAUUGCCCUCGUACUCAUAAGUUGUUUUCGAUGAUAGAGCUUCCGAAUCGACGAUCCAUACAGUUAAACAUUAUCUAGAGCAUUUAAAACUUUUAGAAAUCAAAUUUCAUAAUUUUUCGACAUCAUUUACCUUACGAUCAAAAGCUCACAAAAUUGAUAAUUUUUAACGGUCGGUAUGGGAUAUUUGCUAGUUUAACGGUGUAAAAGAAUUAGAAUAGGUUGAAUUUUGAUAGAAAAUCUAUUCACUACCUAGAUAAAGAUCAAUAACUCUGAUCUAAAAUUGAAGGAUCCGAUCAUCAUUUUUAGGACGUCGUUCGAUUUGACCGUUCAUUUUAUGCCCGUUUGUGGAUUUUAUUAUGAUUUCAAAAAUUAUGAAAUUAUUUUUAGAAGUUUUAAAUACUUUAAUCAUAUUUAACGGAGUGGAUCGUCGAUUCAGAAGCCCCAUCAUCGAAAACAACUUAUGAGUACGAGGGCCAAAUCUCAUAAGAGUGUUAUUAUAUAUAUAUAUAUAUAGAGAGUGAGGCUACUAUGCUAUCGAAGCACGGAGCCUUCCGUGCUUCCAGCUUCGUUUCGAUGUUGCGACUUUCGAAUCGUCGAUCAGCUCCGUUAAACUUGAUCUAGAGUUUUGGAGUACUAGAAAAUAAAUUUAUUAUUUUUCGAUACCAUUUGCCUAGUGAUCGAAUGGGCUCAAAAUCAAAACAAUUUCAAUGGCUGUAGUGAGCCGUUUGCAAGUUUAACGGUGUAGAAAUAUCCAAAUCACGUGAAAUUUUGAUAGAAAUUCUUUAUACUAUAUAAAACAAGAAUCAAUAUUUUGAUUUAAAAUUUAAUGUCAUAUUAUUAUAUGUUGUAAGAUUUUUAUUUUCAGUCGUUGAUUUUGAGCUCCUUCAUUCAAUAGGCAAAUAUAUCGUAAAUUAUAAAAUUUAUUUUCUAGGUACUUCAAAUACUCUAGAUCAAGUUUAGGAGCCGAUCGACGAUUCGAAAAUCGCAACAUCGAAAACGAGCUGAAGACGGAAGGCUCCGUCUUCCGAUAGCAUAGUAGCCUCACUCUAUAUAUAUAUAUAUAUAUAUAUAAUAUAUAUAUAUAUAUACACUCUUAUGAGUACGAUUACCCUCCGUACUCAUAAGAUGAUAGAGCUUCCGAAUCGAUGAUCCAUACUGUUAAACGUUAUCUAGAGCAUUUAAAAUGUCUAGAAAUCAAAUUUAUAAUUUUUUGACAUCAUUUACCUUAUGAUCAAAAGCUCACAAAAUUGAUAAUUUUUAACGGUCGGUAUGGAAUAUUUGCUAGUUUAACGGUAUAAAAGAAUCGAAAUCGGUUGAAUUUUUUAUAUAAAAUUUUCUUCACUACAUAGAUAAAGAUCAAUAACUCCGAUCUUAAAUUGAAGGAUCCGAUCAUUUAUUUUUAAGACGUCGUUCAAUUUUGACCGUUCAUUUUAUACCCGCUUGAUGAACUUUAUUAUGAUUUCGAAAAAUUACGAAAUUCAUUUUUUAGAAGUUUUAAAUACUCUAGAUCAUAUUUAACGGAGUGGAUCGUCGGAAGCUCCAUCAUUGAAAACAACUUAUGAGUAUGAGUAUAGUAGCCAUAGCUUGUAUAUAGAGUUGAGCUAGAAUACUCCCAAAAGCACAAAGUGGUUGGUGCUUUUGUGUUUUUAGCCUUUGGAUGGAAAGAUGUAGGGUUGUGAUGAUGGUGGUAGAUGGUGGUAGGUGGAAUAAUGUUUGAUCCAAAGGCUAUUAGUAAUCAAGGAGUAGAUCCAAGGGCUAAAAACAUAGAAGCAUCAAGGGGUUGGUGCUUCUAAAAGUAUAGUAGCCGGACUCAUAUAAAAUUAUGAAAUUUGAUUUCUAAAAGUUUUAAAUGCUCUAGAUAAUAUUUAACGGUAUGGAUCGUCGAUUCGGAAGCUCAAUCAUUGAAAACAACUUAUAAGUACGAGGACAAUCGUACUCAUAAGAGUAUAGUAGCCGGACUCAUAUAUAUAUAUAUAUAUAUAUAUAUAUAUAUAUAUAUAUAUAUAUAUAUAUAUAUAUAUAAGUUGCAGCUAGAAUACUACUCCGAAUAGCGAAAACGGGUUCCUUGCCACCCAUUUGUUUCUGAGGAUAGAGCUUUAAAUCGACGAUCGCACCAUUGAACAUGAUCUAUACCAUUGAAUGUUUAGAAAUUAAAUUUUAAAUCUUUUCGAUAUCAUUUGCCUAAUGUAAUGGGUUUUCAAAAUUUGUAAUUUUAAUGGUCGAUAUGAGCGUUUCUCAUUUAACGUGUUAAGAUAUCAAAUCAAUUAAAUUUUUGUUAGAAAAUUCUUUAAACUAUUUAAAACAAGAUCUAUACUUCUUGAUCUUGAUUACCAGACUCCUAUCAUCAUUUUUUAAAGAAUUUAUUUUUAGUCGUUUAUUUUGUGUCUACUCGAUGGAUAAGAGAAUAAUAUCGAAAAUAUAUUGAAAUUUUGAUUUCUAAACACUUCUAGUGUAUAGAUCAUGUUCAACGUGCCGAUCGUCGAUUUGGAGGCUCUAUCGUCUAAAACAAAUGGUGACAACCGAGCCCAUUUGCGAUCGAUAGUAUUCUAGCUCAACUCUCUCUCUCUCUCUCUCUCUCUCUCUUUCUCUCUUCUCUCUCUCUCUACUCUCUCUCUCUCUCUCUCUCUCUCUUAUAUAUAUUAUAUAUAUAUAUAUAUAGGCCGUGGCUACUAUACUAUUAUGAGUAUUGGAGCCCUCGUACUCAUAAGUUGUUUUCGAUGAUUGAGCUUCCAAAUCGACGAUCCACUCUGUUAAAUAUGAUCUAGAGUAUUUGAAACUUCUAGAAAAUAAAUUUCGUAAAUUUUCGAAAUCAUAAUAAAGUCCAUCAAGCGGGCAUAAAAUGAACGGUCAAAAUCGAACGACGUCUUAAAAGAGGAUGAUCGGAUCCUUCAAUUCAAGAUCGGAGUUAUUGAUCUUUAUCUAGGUAGUGAAUAGAAUUUUUUAUAAAAAAUUCAGCAAAUUCCGAUUCUUUUAUACCGUUAAACUAGCAAGUAUCCUAUACCGGCCCUUAAAAAUUGUGAAAUUUGUGAACUCUUGAUCGUAAGGUAAAUGAUGUCGAAAAAUUAUAAAAUUUGAUUUCUAGAAGUUUUAAAUGCUGUAAAUAACGUUUAACGGUAUGGAUCGUCGAUUCGGAAGCUUUAUUAUCGAAAAUGAUUUAUGAGUACGAGAGCGAUCGUACUGGUAUAGUAUAUAGUUUGAGUAUCCUAUAUAUAUAUAUAUAUAUAUAUAUAUAUAUAUAUAUAUAUAUAUAUAUAUUUUCAAUUCAAUUUGGUUUCUGUUUUUGGGCCGAAAAGACUUGAUAACCAUACCGAACAGGCUCUUUCAGCUUGGUUUUUCAGAAUACGGGGUAACGUUGCAUUGCACGGAUGAAUUGGUUCCCAACCCAGACCCGCGCCCACCGGUAGGUCCCUGACCGAUUAGCUUACGAACCCUGUUAGUUAUGCUUGUGUUUUACAUUAUAGUUUCGCCAGCAUGAUUAGCAUCGCCUGCUCCUUCUGAUUCCCGAAGAUUGCUUGCUUAAAAAAUUAAAAUUAAAAAUUAAAAAUUCGAAAUCCCGACUGCAGCAGUCAGCAUCCAUCCGUCGGAGGUGACUGGUGAGGGUGAGGAGAUGGUUCUGGUGGUGAACGGCGGCGGCGGGGGCGGGGAUCAGCACCAGAUGUUGGUGCUGAAGGCGCAUGCCACGAUGGCGGUCGUCCAGGUCAUCAGCGCCGGCUACCACGUCAUCGCCAAGCUCGCCCUCAACGUCGGCAUGAACCAAGUCGUCUUCUGCAUCUUCCGCGACCUCAUCGCCCUCUCCAUCCUCGCCCCCAUCGCCUUCUUCCGGGAGAGGUAUUUCAAUCAGCAAUCCCAUCUCUGCUGGCCUUCUUCCUUUCUACUUUGCGGUUCCAUUUAUUCCGAGAAUCCGCACAGAGGGGAAUCAUCAGCAUUAUAUGGAUAAUUUAUUAUGCAAAACAAAGAAAUUUCUACCACGAAUCCAGAUUAAAAUAUUAUCCCCUUCUUUUAUCCUCUUUCUAUUUUUGUAAAAAUUGGUGCCCUGUUAUUUCGCCCGGCAGACAGCACCCAUUCUGUCUUGGCUGAUUCCUUGUUGAAGUGAAUACUUGCCUUAAUCGCCUACGAGCACCGACCCCAUCUUCUCAAUCUACAGAAAAUAUGUGCCCUACUGGUUGCAUGCCCGAAACUUGGGGCAACCAAAAAAAAAAAAAAACAUAGAUCUAAUUGUUCUUCUUCAGCAGAAAACCUAGCAUUUCUUUUCAGACUUAGGACUGUUUGGUUGCUUCAACACAAGAUGCUGCAGAAAAGUGUAAUGUUGUUUCUUAGGGAACACCUGAAAGGGCCUGCAUUCAAAGUGCCAGGAAUUUUGUUGCAUGCUGAUGCAUGACAAGUAGCAUGCCAUUCACAUCCACUUUACUACUAAGUCCUGGUUUUGGAAUGCUAUCAACUUGUGGCAAAAGGAAUAGUCAACGUUCAGAUUCGAGGAAGUUUGGUUAAUGCGAGAAGACUUUAGAAGCUUUGUUCCAUUAUGGUGGGACGAGAUGUUAAGCAAAUGUACUAGCAUCCUAUCAUUCGUUGCUAAAGUAACGAUACUGUUGUAGGAGGAACAAAAAUGGUGUAUAGAGAAUUGUAGUAUAGUAAAUGCUAAGAAGUAUGCUGAAAAAUACAAAACUAGAUGUCUUGGAGGUACAACAAUGCUUAACACAAUGGCAGUAGAAGAAAAUGAAGCAACUUGAGGAGUCUGGCUGCUAUUAUUGUGGAUAAGGAAUUACUUUGAAGGCACAUGCUAAAUAGCAGUGGUUAUGAAAUAGAAAGGUUUUUCACGCGGAGGCAAAUGGGAGCAAGCGUGAGAACUCUAUCGAUGUGAAAGAGGAUGAAGGUAGGAGACUUUACAGGAAGGAAGAAAAGAGGGAGUAUUUCUAACAGAUACAAGGAGGUCUGUGCCCCGGUAGUCUCAGAUAGCUUGUCAAUUGGUGAUUGCAGUAGUCUACUCUAGGAAAGAAUCAUCCCGCACCCCGAGCAACUUACUACACCUUUUUCUUUGGAAGAGAUUAAAAUGACUAGUUUUCAGUUAGGCGGAGAGAAGGUGCUAGGUUGGAUUGGUUUAAUAUGAAGUUCUACCGGAUUUUCUUGGAAGUGGUAAAGGACGAUUGAUAUUAUAUUUUCCGAGACCAUUAUGAUGGUACAGUGAGAACUGGGCCUAUAGAUUACUUGUAUAUUUGUUUAGUCCCCAAGAGAGGGGGCAAGGCUGGCCAAUGACUUUAGACCCGUUUGUUUUAUUACUAGAAUACAAAGGAUCAUGUCCAAAGUACUCGCUAAUAGAUUAGAAGGUGUAUUGAAAGACAUCAUCUCUCCCUCCCAAUUCGCUUUCUUGAAAGGCCAGUUGAUUCUAAACUCUUUCAUGACAGUUAGUGAGCUAUCGUGUCAGUUCUCAAAAGUGGGACAGGAAAGUGUUGGAGUUAAAGCUGAUUUCGAGAAGGCUUAGAAAAGAGUGAAUUGGUUGUACCUUAGGAAGGUUAUUACAUGGUUAGAGGCAAACCACAACGGUGGGGAUGGGUCAAACAAUGUAUAUCCAAUGCCAAAAUAGCAAUUCUAGUUAAUGACCACCCCUGUAAAUGGAUCAGAGUAAAAAGAGGUUUGUGUCAGGGUGAUCUUUUAUCUCCUUAUCUCUUUCUCAUGAUAAUGGAGGGUGGCGAACAUGACGGAACGGGCAGUCAUUAAUAACUAACAAUCUUUUGAGCGGGGUGGGACAUAAUGAGGAGAGCAAGGUCGCAUUAAUCAUAUAUGUAGACAGCACGAUCUUUUUUUGCAAGAUAGAGAAAGCAAAUGAGAAACCUUAAAUUUGUGUGGAGCAUCUUUGAGUGUGCAUUUGUCUAAUGAUAAAUAAGAAUAAGUCAUUGCUCUUCUAUCUAGGUAGAGACGACAAUAAAGGUGAGAGGUUGGCUAAUAUCCUAGAGAUGCAAACUGGAGACGAAGGUUAGAAGUAUCGGGUGGUGCUGUACGGCACGAGACGUAUGACACUGUGCCCCUAAUUAGUGGGCAUAGUAUGGGAGUUCCCUGCUUGGUCCCCGAGUGUCGCAAUACCUUUUGCAUAUCGCACGAGACAGUCACAGCAUAGUCGCAGUGCUUUAAUCUUUUUAUUUUUGGGCCUACUUUUUUUUUUUUUAUCUUUUUUUUGGUUUUCUCCUAUAGACAUUGCUCUCAUUCUCCCACAGACGUCCUUCUCUCUCAUUCUCUUUUACCCUCUCUUCUCCUUUACUGUCUCUCUGUCUUUCCUUUUUUCCUCAUCUCUUUCUCUAUUUUUUUUUAUUUCUAUUUUUUCCUCUCUUUUCUUUUCAUCAUUUUUUUCUCUAAUUUCUUUUUCUGUUUGAUCGUUUCAAGCUGAAAAGAAAAGGCAAAGAAAUAGCAAAUCAAAGAUAUACUAAUUAGGUAAGUAAAAGAAUUUACAAUUUAAUUUUUUUCAUAGAUUUUGAAUAUUCUAACUUGUAGAACUUUUUUUUUGAAAAAGCAUGAAAUUAUGUAAAUUUUUGUUUAUAGUUUACAAAAAUAGAUCUACUUGAUUUAGUAAUUAUAUGGUCUGAUUUUUAAUUAUUUCGGAUAGAUCUUGCAUUUUGUAUGAGAUUUAUGACAAAAGUUUUUUAACUUUGAAAAUUCUUUUUGAAUUUAGAAGAUUGAAAAUACUAAGAAAAUCAAAAACUAAAUUGAGGCAAUUGAUGUUUAAAUUUGCUACAUUAAUUUGUUAUAUGAUUUAUUGUUAAAUUUUUAUGGAUAUAUCUCAUAAUUUUUCUUAAAAAAUUUAAUAAAAAAUAAUUUUCUUCAAAUUUUUAAUAAAUAUUUUUAAAAGACGCAAAAUGAAAAGGAAUUAUUGGAGCAGUUGCAAUCCUAUUCUAGUUAAUCUAGUUAUCAUGCGGCCCCUCGUUGAAUCAAUAUGGAUGAAUUUUGCAAAUUUUCUUUAAAAUUUUAAGAAAAAAUAAUGUUCUCUAAUUUUGUAUUUUACAAUUUUUUAAAUUUGAAAAAAAGAAAGAUAUCCGCAAUUGUGAAUCUUGUAUUUGUAGAUUACAAUAUGCCAUAUUAUUCACUGCAACGAUUAUGUGGAACUAAGUAGGCAUCUUUCCGUAAAAAUACAAAUUUAAAUUCUUAUUGUAUCUGUGGAUUUUGUUAUUGUAUUUUAAUUUCUAUUCUCUAUGAGCUAUAGUUAUAUUUUACUUUGUAUAUGAAAAAGCAUACCACUAUAUAAAUUGUUGACUGUUUUUUAAACUAUAUAUAGCCAAUGUUCAUAAUUAUUUUUCUAAAUCUUUCAAAAUAACAUUAUAAAAGUUUAUUAGGACAAAAAAAAAUUAAAACAAGAUCGUGCCAAAGCGUGCCACUAGGAGGUCGUGCGUGCUAAUGAGCACACAAGCAUGCCACGUGUCAAUACGUAAUCGUGCCAGUGUUGUAUCAUGCUAGGAAACAAUCGACAUGCCUUCGUGCCUGCGACACUUUAAUCCUUGUUGGGGACCUUUCUUUGUCGACUAUCUAGACUACCUCUCACGAACGAGUGACUUAGAAAUAAUUGGUAGCCCAUAAUAGGCAAGAUUGUGAAAAUCAAGGUUUUAAGUGCCCGUCGGCACGGGCCGUAUCCACCGUGCCGUACUGUGCCAACAAAAUACCGGCACGAUACAGAUCACGUGCCAAUGGCAUAGCUCAAAACCCUCUAUUCUUUAAAUUAGUAAGUAAUUUCUUCAAUAAAAUUCAAAAGAUGUGAUAAAAAGAUAUAAUAAAUAGUUAGAAUAUUUUUUUGCUAAAGAAAAUAAAUAUUUCAUGCUAUUAUUUGUCGACACACAAGAAUUUUUUUGAUCGGCACGCAUCGGCACGUCUAGGCACACACCGUGCUGUACCGUGCUGGCAAGUUUCCGGCACGACCCCGUGCCACGACACUUAAAUCCUUGGUGAAAAUAGAUUGAAGGGUGGCAAGCUAAACUCCUUUUGCGGGAAGGCAAACUGGUCUGAGUGAACUCAGUACUUUCGAAUGUGCCUUUGUACUUCUGAGUGUAUAGAGUGCCUAAAUUGGUUUUAUGGGGUAUCGAAGCCCUCUAGAGGGCUUUUUUUUGGAAGGAAAGGACUGUUGUCGCUGGGGGACAUUAUCUGUAUGAUGGAAGUCGGUCUGUUGGAACAAAACAGAUGGUUGUUUAUGGAUUGAGGGAAUGGAGAACAUGAACGUAGACUUGUUGCCAAAAUAGUGGUGGCGGUCGACUCCUCGGAUACGAGCCACUAGUGGAGUACCCUAGUUAAUGCCCUAUACUAUUCUCGAAGGAGAUCGCUUAGACAAGGAGUUCUCUUCAGACCCCACUCGCAAUGGUGGUGGAAUGUUUUAAAGACUAGAGACAUCUUUAAGUAUGGUGUCACUUAUGUGGUUGGGGACGGUAGUAGUGUGGGCUUCUGGUUUGACUUAUGGUGCAGUGAUUCUACCCUACCGUCUUCAUGCCUCCACAUUUUUAGAAUAGUGUAGAAAGAUUGUUGGGUGAUGGAUUGCUCUGAGGGGAGCAAGUGGAAAUAGGAUGACAUCCUGGUAUGUUUUGUCCCAAGCUGCGUAAUGUGAUGGAGAUUCGAUAUGGGAAUUAAAUGAGGCAUUAUCUAACUUAACACUGUCUAAUUGAAUGGAGAUUGGCCUAGUUAGAUUGGAUUUUGGUUGGAUCUCUUUAUAACUUCUUGCAAGAUGGAGUCAAAGAUAGGAGUUUCACAUAACUGUGAAAGAUUCAUACCCCGUUGAAAGUCAAAUUUUUUGUUUGGUUAGUUCUGAAAAGAAAGGUACUUGUGGUCGACAAUUUACAGAAGGGGGUUGGCAAGGGGAGCAGGGCUGUGUACUCUGUCUGGAUGAUUUCGAGAUGGUCGACCAUUUAUUUGCAGAAUGUGAAGUUAAUAGACUUUUGUUGGAUUUUUUGAUUCCUAAUAAGAAGAACAUCCACAGAUGCCCUUUAGAGGCGAGUCGACUCAAAUGGGGCCCCACGAGGCGAAAUGAGUUAGCACAAUUGCCAUCGCUUGGUGGGUAAUUUGGCUUGAGAGAAACAGAAGAAUUUUACAAAAAAGGAAACACUCCUUGAAAUAGAUGUUUGUGGAGUUCGUUCGUUGAGGGGCCUCUAAGAAGAAUACCGUGUUGUGUAACCUCCUGGUUCUCAGUGUUUGGGCCUUGUUUUUGUUCUCUUUUUUUGCCUUUUAGGAUCCUAUAUAUUCUUUCUUUUUCUUUUUCUUCAUUUUAGUGGCUUGGUUGCCUCACUCUGUAGCCAAGUUUGUCUCCUAAAUGAAUGAAGCGGUAGUGUGCUACCAUGCUCUCGAAAAACAAAAGUAGAUAGGCAAAACAACAUUACGAUGGGGAUCCUACCACAUAAAAUAAUUGCUGUUGCAUGAUUCCCACCCCAUUUACACAUACAGACUGUAUGGCUCCGUGCAUUGUCAUUUUUUUCCUACCUUUGACUCCUCCAGAUUACAUGUUGGUGAGGUUAUUCACUUCAUUUCUUUCCAGAAAACCAAACUUAAAUUCAGCAAGAUGGCUGAGUAUUUGGUUGGUUCUUGCUUAUGCAUCAACUAAUAUAAGAAUUGAUCAUUUUCGCAGUUAUAUAAGGAUUUGUUAUUAUAAUGGUUAAAAUAUAUUGAAAUUAGUUCUUUUCUGUUAGAAAAUAUUUGUGAAUGUCUAGGCCAAGGAAUAUGACUGUAACUUUCGUACGACGAAUCCUGUGCUAUGAGUCAGAAACUUAUUCAACUUAGACCAAUCAUUUAUAUUGCACUUGAUGCAUAGGCAAAAAGCAACAAGACCCAUAAUUUUUGGUUUUUAGUAACUCCAACUAUUCCAUGUCAUAUGUAUCAGGAAGGAUUGUAAAUUCAAAUGCUCUACUAUUGGCUUUGCAAGCGAUUUGGGCACAUCCUCCAGAGUGUGAUCUAACCCCUUACCCUUUGGACUGUGUUCCCUGUCACUCUGUGUGUGCAUUAAUGAUUGUGUGCUUGCGGGCAUGUGCGUCCGCGGGGGUGGAUGGUUUGGGGGUUUGUAUGCGUGUGUGCUCUCUUAUUUCAUACGGAAAGGUGUACAGUAAUUUUCGUGCGUAUCCGGGCUAUGGGCAUGAUAUAUAAGUUACAUAGUUCUAUUUCUACAUAUGUAUGUUUUUGGAUGUUAGCCUUUCUGGUUUCUUUGGUAUGCCAUGACCAUGUACAUUUGGCCAUGUUGAACCUGCACUAUAUAAUUACGGUUUUAUAUAUAGCAUAAUAUAGGUAUAGUGCUCUUAACCUUUUUAGUACCAGUACUCGUUUUGUAAAAUUAGAAUUUCUGCUCUCAAACAAGCUUAUGCUUUCAGUAGACUGUGUAAUCAAAUGUUUUUCAUUCAAUAAUGACAUCUUUCUUUGGUUUACAGAAAUGUCCGACUUCCACUAACUCGACGCCUCCUUGUGUCAUUUUUCAUUCUUGGGCUAACCGGGUACCCACUAAACUCAAUUUAAAUAGAGUAAUGUCAUCACUCACAAAAAUUCUUAUUUAAUAUUGUGACACCUUUGUAGGAUUUUUGGCAAUCAGCUGUUAUUCCUAGUUGGUCUUAGCUACACAAAUCCAACUUAUGCUGCAGCUAUUCAACCUUCAAUACCUGUGUUCACCUUCCUCUUGGCUGCAAUUACAGGGUCAGUUAUUUUAGGUACUUAUCAAUUCUUUACCUCUAUUUUCUAUUUCUCAUUCUUAAGAUUUGCUGGUUUGCAGUGCGGAAACUGUGACCUUAAUUACAUCUGAGGGCCGAGCUAAGAUUGCUGGUACAUUUAUAUGUGUUUCGGGUGCUGUACUAAUGGUGUUGUAUAGAGGCCCAGCUAUAUUUGGUAAUAAUGAAUUUGACAUAGCAGCUCAAAAUGACAUAAGCGCAAAGGCUCAGCCUGAGCCAGCUGGAUGGUUAGCAUCUUGGUUUAUUGAUUUUGGACUUGAACAGUGGCAUAUUGGAGUUUUGUGCUUAAUAGGAAACUGUUUGUGCAUGGCUACUUAUCUUGCUUUACAGGUAAUGAAAUAGGCAGACUAUCAAUUUGCUCCAUAUAUAUUUAUAUAUAUUUUUCCUUAUUUACAUGAUGCAGAAAUCAUAGGUUCAAGCGUCUUACUAGCAGAAAUUUUGUUGUUAUCACUUGAUACAAAAGAUUGAAUGCAUCCAAUAAACAAUAGAUUAUCAAAAAUUGAUCUUAGAAAUGUGCCAGUUUUUCACCAGCAAGGGGGUAUCUUACUAUUGACAUGCUAGCCUAUGCCACAGCGUGUAUCAUGCUGGCAUAGAUGAGACCACCACCUCCAUGCUGUAGCAUGACCAUCCACAUAAUUGCAAAAGGCUUGGGUGUUCAAAAGAAAAGUUAAUGUAAAGAAACAUCUUUGCCUUUAUUAAAACUACAAAGCUACAUUUUUUUCCCUUUUUUUAUUGCAAACUUAUUUAAGGAUUCUCGUACUCUGCCUCUUCCAAUAUUAUCGAUUAUCUAUGUUCUAGAUAUUACUUCAGGGUUUUUGGGCGACUAAUCCUACAGAGUUCUUUUAGUUGUAAAAAUAGACAUUCAAAAUUUUUAUUUGUAAAAUUAGGCUUAAGCAGUGAAUGAUUUACUGCUUUUAGAAUUCACUGCUUUCUAAAAUCAUAAAUCAUUCACUGCUUUUACCAAAUUUAUAUAUUUUCUACAUCUGAACUUCAAAGGAUGUGUAACAUUAAACAGUAAAAUAAUUUUAACGUUCUGAGAAAGCAGCAAAUGAUUUAUCGCCUUUAAAAAGCAGUGAAUCCUUCACCUCAUAAAACUAGUUUUGUAAAUAAAUUUUUUGAAGGACUACUUUUACAAUUAUAAUAUUUUUCAAGCCUAUUAAUAGAAAAAUGCUUACUUCUCUACUUGAACUCUAGUGGAUUGUUGGUGAUUUAGCUUGGUUUUGUGAAUUUUUCUAUUGCUGUCUUUCUUUUAGAAACAAUAGCAUUCUUACUUAUAUCAUGUUGGCAAAUUUUUACAUGCUAAAUACUCACAACUUGUAACAAAGCUGUAUGAGCAAAUUGUUGUAUGUGAAGGAAACUUUUCCAUUUCUUGUUGCUUGCCAUUUACAAUUUGUAUAUUUUAUGGAAGUCAAAAGUCUGCUGAAAUGUCUCAUUCAGAACACAUUCUUAUGUCUAUAAUGUCUAUACAAGAUUAAUGCCCUUUGACAGUUCUCUUUCGAAAUUGUUAUUUUUAUCUUUUUGUGAAGCGCACAGAUCAUUUAUAUGCAAACCCACUCAAACUUUAUGAUUAUAUACUAUUUGAGUGAGGAAGGUUGAAACUGUCAACAUGAAAACUAGGAUAUUAAGUGAUUAGUGUCAUCUGGUUGCUGCUAUUUCAUGUUGGUUCAUGUGAGGUUGCACUAAUUUCAGGCUCCAGUUUUGGCGAAGUACCCUUCCAGCUUGUCUUUGACAGCAUACUCGUACUUCUUUGGAGCUGUUUUAAUGGUUUUAUCAGGAUUCUUUGCAACUAAUGAUCAAGCAGAUUGGACUCUGACACGAUCUGAGACUAUUGCAGUCUUAUAUGCAGUAAGUUUCCAGUUAAUUACUGUUCUCCACAAUGUACGAAUUUUUGUUAUCCUAGUAAAUGCAUGUCUCUUUAACAGGAGUUUCUGGCUUAAAAUUUUUUUGGCUUAAAAUUUUUUUGGCUGUGAGAUAUGAAGAACUUGUUUCUGUGACUUGUUGUUAAUUUAUGUUUGAUUCUCUGCAAACUUCCUCUUAUUUUAUAGUCAUGACUUUGCCUUAAAGUAGUUAACUAGUUGGAAGAAAGUAAAGACAAAAAUAAAAAGGUGGACUCGUUUCACCGUUCUUACCAUCCCUUUCAUCUUUUAUACUCCCUUAAUCCAGCAACCCUGCCUCUUCCACCCUGUUCUGAAUCCCAUCCCAAUCUCCUUUCUCGUGUUCUUGUACAGAGAGGGAUGUGAGAAUCUCUCUCUCUUCCUCUAUAUCCCUCUUCUUCCUUAGUAUGUUCUCCUUUUUACGACUGUUUUGGGCCUACCUAAAUUGGAGCUUGAUCAGGCUUGGUCUAGAUUUGCAGCUUCUAGAUAGGAUGAGGGAUAGGGUUGGCUCGCCAGAGUUGCACCUGACAAAAUAGGCUCUUGGGAUGUUGUAAGCCGCAAAUGAAGCGCUUUACCUUCCCUCAUAGCUUACUCCCUGGUCUUUCGUAACUAUUCUACGUAGAAAUAACAGAUCUGUAUUCAGUUCUUUAACUUCUCCAUAUUUUGCAAAUUUUAAGUUAUGUCCUUUUCCCAUUUGACUCUUUAGGCUUUCUUGUUUUACCAUAAGAUGAUGCUAGUAAUUUUUGUGCAUUAGAUCUUAGAUUCAGAGCCACUUGUUUUCAGCUUUUCAAUUAUCUGAUAUUCUUUAAUGAUUUUUCUACAUGACUUAUAUGAAAUGUGCCUUCCUACAUGCAGAAUCUGGCCUUUUAUUGAUCGCAUAAGCACAAAUCUGCCACAUUUUAUUUGCACGAAGAAAUUGCAUGUAUGUCUCAAAUGUAUAAUAUAUUAUAUUAAAUUACGGGUGUUUUUCAGGGAGUUGUCGCCUCUGCUCUUAACUAUUGGCUGUUGACAUGGUCAAAUAAGAUUCUAGGUCCUGCAUUGGUUGCUUUAUAUAAUCCACUUCAACCUGUGGUAUCUGCCUUCUUCUCAAGGAUUAUUCUUGGAAGCCCCAUUUACCUUGGAAGGUUUGAAAAAAAAUUUGCCCCCUCCUACAGUAACUCAGAUAUUUCUUUGUAUCCGCGAGUUCCUAGAUCGUACUGUAGCUCCAAGAGUUAUGCUAACAUGCUUUUAUAUUUAGUCUUUCGAUUAGAAGAUAAGUUUUAAUUCGCAUCUCUUUUUUAGGAGAGUGAGUUAAAACCUAAAUUCUAAUGAUAUCUUUCUGAUAUCUGUUAUUCAAGAUGCAGUUUCUUAUGAUUGCCAACUCAUUUGAAUGAAGUUUUUCUUCUAAGUUUAAUGAUCAUUCCAAAUAUUUGGCCUCGAAGUACUAAGUUUUUUCCUUUAAUGUAAUCUUCCCCCUUAAUUAGCCUUUUGUAUCUUUUUGUGGAAAGCUUCCUAGUCAAUGCUUCUCUUUCUGAAAAACACUGUAAGCAGAAUGUGCAGUCUUGCACUUGCAAAAUUUGAUUCCUACUAUGCUAAAAUCAAUACCAAGUUUUAUUUUCUUUUUCUUUUUUUCCUUUGUUACCUUUUUUUACAUUAUUUUUCUUGACAUUUUUUUUUUUUUUUUUUCGUUAACAGCAUUCUUGGGGGCCUUCUGAUUAUCUCUGGUCUUUAUCUUGUAACUUGGGCGCGUCAUAGAGAGCGGCACUCGGCCACUAUUGGGAUCUCAUUUGUCAAAUGCAUAACUGAACAGCCCGAUGUUGAUGCACCGGCAAAAAAGAGAGGAAACAUAUUCUCCGGCUCCUCAUCUGCAUUUCCUUGGCCGUGGGUUGAGCCCCACGAAUCAUGAUAUUUCAUUAUUAUUUUGGCCCCUUUUUUGAUUUAUAUAAUUAGAAUUUAGAGCUAGGGAGCAAGAGCUCGCGAGAGUGACAGUUUUAGGGAGAAUAGGGUAAUAUACUGCAGGUUCUUUGUAAGGAUGUUACAGCAAUCAAUUUUUUUCAACCUGAGGUUUUUGAAAAAUGUGCUUAUAUUUGUAUGCAGCUGCGUCUUUCUUGUGCUUUUCACAGGAUGUUAUACGGUAGCAGCAUGGAAAUGCUUUUUUGAAAACUCUACUGGUGUGGCUUUCUUGUGUUCGCGACGUGCUCUUCAUUUUGGAUGGAGAGAAUAGAGAGGAGAGAGAGUGAGAGGGAGGGGGAAAAAGAAAAUUACUUUGAGAAAAUUGUUAAUUUUUUCUUGUUUGCAAUGAACUCAGGGUAGGAAAUAAGAGAAAUUGAAAGAAAUGGAGAAAGGGUGGCGUACCGCAAAAAUUCUUUCUUUUUCUUUUUCUUUUUCUUUUUUGGCUUCACACGGUAAAAACGGAUGUGGAAGUAAACGCUUUAGUUUACUUUUAGGCAUACUCUAGCCUUUCUCUAUAUUUAUAUAUAUACUAGUUUAGGGCCCGCGCUUCGCGGCGGAUCAAUAUAGGCAAUCUAAAAUAUCAGUUUGAUUUUCGAUUUAAAAUUUAAAUUUAAAUUUUGAUUUUAUAGUUGAAUUUUAAACUAUCAUUCAGAUUUAAAAUUCAAAAUUGAUGAAUUUCAAAUAAAUAUCUUUCAGACUUAGAUUUUAAAUAUUAUUUUUAACUUUUAAAUAUCAAAUAUCAAAUUUAAAAUUUUAGGUUUCAAAUAUUAGAUUUUAUAUUUUAAAUUUUAAAAUUCAAAAUUUGAAUAUAAAAUGUAAAAUUUAAAAUUUAGGAACUGAAAUUUAAAGUUUAAAAAUGUAAAAUUGUAAAAUUUAGUUUUAGUAAUUAAGAUAAAAUAUAAAAUAUUUAAAUUUUAAGUUUUAACUUUUAAAUUUCAAAUUUCAAUAUUUUAAAAAUUAAAUUAUAAAUUGAAUUUAAAAAUUUUAAAUAUUAAAUUUUAAAAUUUAGUUUUAGUAAUUAAGAUAAAAUAUAAAAUUUUUAAAUUUUAAGUUUUAACUUUUAAAUUUCAAAUUUCAAUAUUUUAAAUAUUAAAUUAUAAAUUGAAUUAAAAAAUUCAAAUAUUAAAUUUCAAAUAUUAAAAUUUUAAUUUAAAAUUUUAAGAUUUAAAUUUUAAACUUCAACCGUUUAUAUUUUAAAUUUAAAUAUAUUUUUUAAAUAAUAAAAAAAUUUAAAUUUUAAAUAUUUAAUUUUAAAUUUAGAUUUGAAAUGUAAAGUUUUUAAACUUAAAUUUUAAAAGUUUACAUUUUAAAUUUACACUGAGAGAGAGAGAGAGAGAGGGGGGCCGCUCGAGCCGCCCACCCGCGCCGCGCCCGCCUCGCGUGCCCGCGCCGGUGCCUGCCCAUGGGGGACAGAGAGAGAGAGAGGGAGGGAGGGCGCUCGGUCGAGUCGCCCACCCGCGCCGCGCCAGCCCCGCGCGCCCGUGCCUCCUCCCGUGGGGGGAGAGGUAGAGAGGAAGAAAGAGAGAGGGGGAGAGGGAGAGGGAGAAAGGGGGAGAGAGAGAGUCGCGUCGUGACCCGCGCCGGCCGCGCCCGCUCGAGCCGCCCGCCCACUCUGCCAUGUGCGCUCGGCCCGCGCACGGCGCCCGCUCGCGCCCCUUGUGCGCCCGCGGCCGCCCAUGCUACCACUACAAGCGACACGCGGCCGGCGACUUCUCGCGCCCCUCGCAUGCCCGCGCUCGCCCGUGCUGCCACUGCACGCGACCCGCAGCUGGUGCCCACUCGCGCCCCGGCCCGCCCGUGCUGCCACGUGCUCGCGACCCGCGCCCGGCGCUCGCUCGCGCCCCGCCGCCCGACCCGCGCCCGGCACCGGCUCUAGCCCCUCGCGCUCCUGCGCCCGCCCGUGCUGCCGCGUGCGCACUCCUCGCGCGCUCGCGAAGGGCUCGAAGGAGGGGGGCGCUAAGAAGCCGACACGUGGCCACAGUAAAACUCAAUUUUUAAUAUAUCUAUAGAUAGUGGAGUGGCUGGCUCGUCAGUUAAAUAUUUUCAAACUAAAACUAGCAAAAUGUUCUACACUAUAGAAAAGAAAAGGCCUUUUUUUGCAAUUAGCCUCCUAAAAAAAUUUAUUUUAAAAAUAAUCCCAACAAAUUUAAAUUUGCAAAAAUAACUCUGGCCCUGCCACAUAGGCGCCACGUCAGCGCCAUGCGCUGGGCCAGAUAGUUAAGUUAAACACGGUAAACCAUUCACUGUGUCUAAACACGGUGAAUGAUUCACCGUGUCUGGAGAAAGAGAAGGGAAAGAAAAAAUAUAUGUAUUAUGAAAAAGAUAAGUAUGAAACAUGGUGAAUCAUUCACCGUGUUUGAACACGGUGAUGGUUCACCGUGUUCAACUUAACCAGCCUGUUCACGCGGCGCUGAUGUGGCGCCUGCAUGGCAAGAUUAGGAUUAUUUUUGCAAAUUUAAAUUUGCUGAGACUAUUUUUAAAAUAAUUUUUUUCAGGAGGCUAAUUGCAAAAAAAGCCCAAAAGAAAAAUAAGAAAGCUAAAGAAUAAAGAACUACUUGCAGCAAAAUCCGAGUACCAUAAGAAAAACAAUGAAUCAGAUAUAGCCAGAAUGAGAACUUAGACAUUUACAUAACAAUUUUUACUGCACCAAAAAAAAAAAUAAAAUCAUACUCAACACCUUUUAUGAUGUGAUUUAAAAAAUAAAAAAAAAUGUACUGCAACCUGCUGUAUCAGUUAUCCUCUGCUGAAGCAAAAACAUUAUAAUAAAGCAAGACACUUAUAGCAAAUUUCCAUCCAAAAGGCAUUUCUUGCAAACAAUAAUAUUACGUUAAUAGGAGAAUGAGAGAAAAAUUAAAAUAUAAAAUAUAAAUGUCAAUGUUUCAAAGGAUAUAUGGCAAAAAAAUUAAUUAAGCAAGACUUAGCGAAAACAAUAUAAUGUUGCUGAGACUAAGUGAGAGUAAUAAACUAAACCAGCAGUAUCGAAAGGCACCAAAUAUUUGAGCUCUACGACAAAAAUAAUCAAUUAAUACAGAUCGUGUCGCCUAUACAUAGUUCAGCAUAUGAAAAUUCCCAAAAUACAUUCAAAAGAAUUUGUGAAGGUGCACCAAUCCAGAUAUCUUGGAGGCUUCUUUUUGGAUUAAGACAAAUUUUGAUAUGAAAUGGUGAAAGGAAAGAACAGUAGCACAAAUAUUAAAUUUCUUUUAUUUAUACUGCAAGUGCCAAAUUCAUUUACUAUCCAAAAUUACCAACUCAUCAUUUUUUUCAAAUAUAAGGCAACAAACCAUUCAUUUAUUUUACCAAAAAAAGAAAUAAAUUAUAAACUACACAAGGAAGAUGGCUCAUCAUCAUUUCCUAUUUAAUAAAAUAAGGAAGAAGUAAGAUGGAAAAUCUUCUUCUAUAUUAACUGUUCGUUUAGGACUAAUAGUAGAAAGCAUUGGUAUAAACUUGUCUGUUAAUCUACUGUAUCAGAAAAUAUUAACACGAAGUUGCUAAAGGGGGUUAGCAGAGAGAAAUAUUAAUUUUGUAAUCGUAAGCUCAGAGUCAAAUUUUUCUUUGAGUUAUGUAUAUGUUUCACCAUAUUAAACAAAUUGCGGUUUGAUAUUCCUGGUUCACAUGUCUAUCAGGAGUUGUUCUUGCAGCUCUGUAAUAAAAACUUGAACAAUUCAGAUUUGACCACAUGAAAUAGUAUAAAACAUAGGUGUAAAAUAAGUACACCCACACACAUUCGUUGGGGUGGAUUAAAAGCAACAUUGAGAUGAAAAUCGAUCGCAAGUGUAAGGUGAACUUUGUGGUGAUUGGUGUCUACAUCGACAAAAUGGUGUGAGAGGUUGUGCCGCUAAACAUUUGCAACCUCAUCUUCGGCAGCCCCUACCUAUGGGACUGUGACGCUACCUUCUUUUGUCGUCUUCAGCAGUACCCAAUUUGUUGAUGAUGGACAAAAAUUUCUAUUCACUACAAAACCAUUAUCAAUAUCUGCAGACCUAGUGACUGUUUGCCAAGCCAAGAGGAUGAUAAAUGUCUGCCGAAAGUUUGCUUUACUAGUCAUUCUGUCAGUUGAAUCUGAAGAGAAAAACAACAAUGUAUUGAGCCUAGCAUGUAGGGAAAGGGUUGACAAUGUCGUUAGACUAACUGGCAAGCAUCAGGAUUUGUUCCAAGAAGUCUGAGAGUUGCCACCAAAGCAGGCCAUGGAACAUGAGAUCCAAUUGAUUAGCGAUGCUCCGUUACCGAACCUCGGCAUGUGCAAAACUCGGUAGUGGAAAAUGAGAAGAUAACGCUACAAGUGAUCGAGUUGCUCAAGAGUGGUGCUAUUUAACCAAGCAUCUCUCCUUGUGGCUCCUCGAUUCAAAGAAAGACGGCGGGUGCCAAAUGUGUAUCGACUACCGCAUCCUCAACAAAAUCACCAUCAAGAAUCGAUACUCCUUGCUGCGGAUUGAUGAUCUUCCAGACUACUUGAAACAUGCUCGCUAUUUCACUAAGCCGGACUUAAAGUUCAGCUAUCACCAAGUCCAAAUUCAGGAGGAUGACACCUGGAAGACCACAUUCAAGAUGCGGUAGGGCCUAUUUGAGUGGCUCAUCAUGCCAUUUGGCCUUUGCAAUGCAUCCACUACAUUUAUGCGGCUGAUGAACGACAUUCUACACCUCUUCCUCGAUGACUUCGUGAUCGUCUACCUCGACAACAUCCUCAUCUACAGUCGAUCAUAGAAGAGCACCUAGCGCACGUCAAGAAGGUUUUCUUGCUGCUUGAGAAAACCAACUCUACUUGAACCCUAAAAAAUGUGAGCUUGUAAGCAAGUCUGAUGUAUCUCUAGUUCAUGGUGGGUGGCGACGAGCUUUAAAUCGACCCUAACAAGGUCAGGGCCAUCAAGAAGUGGCCCUGGCCCAAAAACAUGAUGGAUGUGUAGAGUUUCAUGGGCGCUUGUCAAUAUGUCCGAAAGUAUCCGGUACUUUUCUGUCCUUGUGGCCUCGCUAUUUGCACUGACAGAGGCCCAACCAAAAGUUCAGAUGGAGUUUGAAACAUAAGGAUACUAUUCUAGUAUGCAAGGUUACAAUGACUCGCGAGGUGAACAUGACUCCUUUCAUGUUGGACGAAAAGGUCAAAAGCCAAGUGUCGCUAAGUGGUUCACAAGGGAAGCUGGGAAAACUUGAUUGCCUCACUUACAAUUCUAGAUCUAGCAGUUGCUGGUUCCUCUCAAAUUGGGGAGCCAUGAUUCGGGAUGAUCAAAUUUUCAGAUAAGUUUCAACUGUUGCGAAUAAGGCGGAGACGGUUCCAAUUACUUCGAUUGGGAUAAGAAUCAAGAAGGUUUCAGGGAACUAUUUCGGUUCGGAUAAGCAUCGAGGUUGUUUCAGCAAAUCCAAAGAAGGAUCAAAUUGUUAUACCAAUUUGGAUAAGAAUAAAACCAAUUUGAAUAAGGAUAAGGAGGUUAGGUGGUUUUCUUUCAAGUGUUUUGUUCUUAUCUUAUUGUAAAUCUGAAAGGCUAUAAAUAGGGGGACCUAUUGGCUCUUGUAAAGACAUUCCAAUUAGAUAGCAAAUAUACAAACUUUUCGCCGAGUGCUUUUUGUAUAUUUUUUUUUCUAAUCUGGUUUUAGGUAUUCAUUAGGGAGGCAUUGUGACAUUGCUUUCUCCUCCUCUAACAAAUUAAUCAACUAUCGAAUCUUCAGAAAUAUAAAUUUUUUAAGGAACAUAAAGAAAUAUUUUGUAAGGAAGUGAAUUCUCGAAAUCCGAGAGUUGUACGUCGUCCAGGAUCGACUACUUGUCGUAUGGGUUGGCUUCGGAAAGGCCGGAUGGCACGAAACCCAAAAAGUGCAUUGGAGUCGAGUCCACGAGAGCAAAUGGUGCAAAAUCUGUACUUGGUAAAUUCUGCUCUCGGGGACCGGUCCCUGGUGAGGGGGACCAGUUCCCAUAGGUGUAUGCCCAGGGUUUGCUCUCGGGGAUCGGUUCCUGGCAGGGAAGGACCGGUCCCCCUAGCGGGUGGUUGCGGCAGAUGCAUAAUGCAACCGGUCCCCUGGCCAGAGGGACCGGUUCCCGUACGCGUGAUUUUGAGAAGGUCCUCAGGGACCGACCCAUGGCAAGGAAGGACCGGUCCCUCCGCGCGAAAUCUGCCCAGGCAGGGCAGGUUGAGAGGGAUAAAGUUGAGGGGCUUGGCUGCAUUUAUGCAUUAGUUAGAGAGUAUAGAGGGGAGAUCACUCACUCCCUCUCCCAUUCUAACACUCUCUCUCUCUCACACUCUCUCACAUUCUCUCCCUUUAUCUCUCUCUAGAAAGAGAAGAAGAAGAAGGAGAAGAACAAGAAGGAGGAGAAGAAGAAGAAGGAGAAGAACAAGAAGGAGGAGAAGAAGAAGAAGGAGAAGAAGAAGAAGAAGGAGGGGAACUUGAAGGAGAUCACCGCCACCAUCUUCUCCUCUUCUUCUUCCUUCCAUUGGAGCUAACCUAGAGGUAAGCUUCUCAACCCUAAUGGUAGAACCUAGGGUUUUGGGUUUUGAGCUUUGGAAAUGAGGUCAAAUGGACCUCUAGCACCAUUAAUGGUGGAUUAAAGCUAGAGGCUAGGGUUUCAUUGUGCUUUGCAUAAUGCUAACCCUAGGGCUCCAAAUGGGGGCUUUUGGAAAUUUAUGAGAUUGAUCUCAUGUGAUGGCAUCUAAACCUAAUUGCUAGGUCUUUAAAUGCAGGGGCGAAGACGGAUUGAGCAUUCGUCUAGCCGGUGAAAAGUUCUCGGCAAAAUAAGGCCGACCAAGCUUAGUUUCGACCUAGGAGGCCGAGACAUCGUCGUAACGUUCGUUGGGAGGUGUUUCUAGAACCUCUACAUCGACAAAGGUGGGGGGUGUCCAUCCCGAAGCAACUGGGCUUCUCCCUAUGUCUAAGUAUCUUUAUGUGAUUACAUUCCAUAUAUAGUAUCAUGCAUGGUAGGGUGUUUAGAUAUUACUUUACUACUCUUGCAUAUUCCUUGGUAAUGCGGCAAAGUGGGCUUGGCAUGUGAACUUAGGAAUGCAUGAGAAUGAGUUUUGUGACAUAGAACCCUAUAGAGAUAAGUUAAACCGUAACUUGAUCUUGCAUGGAUGAGUAUAGUGACAUAUGACUAGUGUAGUCGGGAUAAUUGCAUUAUGGCAAGUGACAUGUAUACCAAGUAAACAACUUGACGAGUGGCAAAUGUAUACCAAGUAAACAACUUGACGAGUGGCAUUAGAAUUCAGUGUUAGAGAACACUUGUGGCAUAGUAGUCCUAGAGACUGGAUCUUCUCAUUUGAUAAGGAAUGGAUCUGGAUUAUACUCACACGUCUGUUCAGCACUUGUGGUGGUCGCUCCGCACAAGUAGUGCGCUCUGGAGUUUGGCACGUGAAUCGAUUGGGAUAGCCUAGGUGGGGUCCCAAGGGAUAGCCUAUGUGGGGUCCCGCAGACAAUCCCUCGGGUGGUUCGAGUCCCCCUUCAUAGACGGAUUUGAGAUGUGAGUUGAGGGCGCACUUAUGGGCCAGCCAGAUAAUUGGGUAAUAAACUCAAGAGAAUUAUGCAAAUUGGGCAUAUUCGGCAUAUUGGACAUAUUGUGCAUAUUGAGCAUUGUAGAAUUGUAUCCAUACUCGAUGUUGGUAUUAUAGCAUGUUAGCGAAUGCAUGGUUAUUUUGUUCAUUCUUGAAUCUCAAAGCAUAGUAGAAUAUUGCAGUUCUUUCAAUAUGCAUUAUUUACAGUUUUGGAUAUUUAUCUAUCUAUCUAUCUGCUUAUGCCUGCUUAGACCUAGUGGGAUGAUCGGCGGAGUCGGCGGCCGAACCCACUGGGAACUAUGGAAGAUAGUUCUCACCCCAUUUCAUUUCAGGGCUGAGUGCGGGCGCGCCGGGCGAGGAUCGCGGCAAAGGCAUUGCGCCCGAGCAAUAGCAUAGUAGCUUCCUUUAUGCAUUAGAGCACCAUUUUGUAUCUAGAUGCUUUAUGUUUUUGGAAGAGCUAAUGAUGUAAUUGAGAUGAAUAUAAUUAUCCAUUUUGCAAGUUAUAAAUAUAAACUUGAUGUAAAAAUGGUUGCAUAGAUGUAAUAGCUAGGUGUUUCUCUCUUUUCACUUGUUAUAUUUGUGGAUUCUUGCUCUUAUUUGUUGGCACUAGUAGUGCUUUUCGUGAUCAUGUAUGUAUUGAAUUUAAGUUCCUGGACAAAUUCUUGUAUAUGAUCUGGUUGUUAGCCUUGGGCAGACAGGGGAGGUGCUGUCCGUUCGGCGUCUGUUCGACGCGCCCAAACCGGACCAAAUUGGUAGUGGGCUCGGGGUGUGACAGGUAAUUAUGGUAUCAGAGUAAGUUAAGAGCAAGUAAAGAGAGAAAUCUAGGAUGGACCUAGAAGACCCUAGGUUGGUAAGCCUUAAGGAUAUAGGUGCGUGAGUGGAACGUGAACCUAUAACGAUGGCGGAAGUCGAUUCGAUUGGGUCGAAGUUGGUGAUAUCUCUUUAGUAGUUGCUAGAGGUAGAUUUAAGUGGUAUUAGUUCUUGGCUUCAAGUGAUUAUGUCGGCGGCCGACGACAUGACGCUGAGAGUCUAGAAUGACUGCACUUGUGUGCUUCCGCCUGAUUUUUAAUGUUGAGUCGCGUAAUUUUGGUAAUCGCGAAUAGGUUAAUGGGUUAGGCUAAUUGACCAGGUUGUUGCGUUUCAGGAACUAAUGACCCGGUUGUUGCGUUUCAGGAACUAAUGUCUCCAAGACGCUACACGCGUAGGACGGUUCCAUCACCGCCUUCUGAGGUGCCAGAGCAAGCUGGACCUCCUUUGGUACCAGAGUCGUCUGGUCCUAGCGAGGUGCAGGAGUUACGGGCACAAAUGACCACGUUGACUGGUCGGUUUGAUCGGCUCCAGGAGUUGAUGGAGCGACAGAUUGCAGCGACGGCCGCGACGGCGAUGGAAGGUCGCAACCUGCACGCAUCCUCGGCAUGCGUGCCUGAGGCGGCAGAGGUGAGGGCGUGGCAGCAGUCCCGGUGGCGGCGUGUCCCGAGCCGACAAGUGUGCUUCCGACGGCUUCGGGUACGGCAACACCCGAUGCGGCGGCUGAGGAAGUGAAGCAGGAGUGCGCAUUGACAGCUCUUAUAAGGUUCAAGAAGUUCGACCCGCCAAUCUUUGAGGGGGGAAAGGUGGUGUCACGCCUCCGCCCCGAGACCGCUACCAGUUUGGUCCGGAUCGGGCGCGGCGAACGGACGCCGAACGGACAGAGUCUCCCCUGUCCGCCCAAGGCUCAACCAACGAGAUCAUGUACACAAGUUCCCAGGAAAUACGCUUGACUAAAUACAUGAUCUAACAAUAACGACGAAGCACAAACAGUGCUUAUCAACCAAGAGCAAGCAACACAAGUAACGCAUACAAGUGAUAAAAGAGAGAUGUACUUAACUAUUAAACUCACUUGACUUUAUACAAUUAUUCCAUCCUUUACAUUCUUCCAAAACAUAUAUAUAAUCACUCUCAAAACCUCACCCUAUACAACAUCUACUCUCAAUAUAAGUACAGGGUAGAGCUAAAGCAAAAGGAAGUGAAACUCUACUAAUACCACUAGGGCGCUACGCCCUUGCCGCGAUCCUCACCGGGGCCACUCGAACUCGGACCUGCAACAAAGUGGGAUGAGAACCACGAAUAGUUCCCAGUGGGUUCGGCCGCCGACUCUGCCGAUCUUCCUACUAGGUCUAAGCAGGCAAAGAUAGAUAUGCAGAUAGAUAGAUAUUUUGCUGAAUUGAAAGCAUCCAUAAUAACAGGCAAGUAUAUAAAAUGAACAUCUAACUAUGCCUCAAUCUGAAAUGAUGCAUGCAUGUGUCAUAGGGUAAAGCUAAGUACCAAACUACUAUGCCCAACAAUAAAUGUGACACAUCAGGUUACCCAAUCUCUUAGCGAACUCGAGGGUCGCUCAAAAUCUCACGUAAGUAAGUUUCAUAGGGGAGGAGCCUAGGCUCAACUACCCCCGAAACUGCCUGCGAACAGAUACGUUAGUCCAAGGGUAAAUACGUUAACCCUCCUCAGGUGACAACUCCGGAGUGCACUACCUGUGUGGAGCUACCACACCAGGCGCAGACAGGCAGGCGCCGCACGAGAAGAACUGGGCGCGGGGGACGGCGCUCUCGGUGCAACGUCCACAACUGGUGCUGGCGGUGUAGGGGCCUGAGUCUCCCUGGAAGCUGCCGCCUGCUGCAAUAGUAGGUCCUCCAGACGCUUCAUCCGCGCCUCCUGUCGGCGUGCCGCCUCGGUCUGCUGUCGGGCCGCCUCCGCCUGCUGAGUGACCAAGUCAGUGAGGGCCGCAAGCUGGCCCCUCAACUCACGGACCUCGCUGGAUCCGGAGGUAGCGGAGGUCUCGACCUCCUCGAAGUUCGCCGCAUUGUCCGGCCCGGCAGAUUGGGAGCGAGUAAUCGGCAUCGUCACUACAAAACAUAAAAGCGCAAGUUAGCAACACUUACGCUAUCGCAUCCCCGCUCAAAAGACAAACCCCAAAUCAUGCGAAAGUAAAGAAGUGUUCUUCACUACUAACUCCCGAUGUUACGUUGUCGGCCACCAACGUAACCCUCCGCGAAGUUAGGAGUUAUACACUUCAAUUUAACUCCACUUUUUAGAGUUGUUCAAGAUACCCAAUCUAGAUACUUUCGCUUACAAGUCGAAUAGAUCUCGUCUCUCACGAGCCUAUUUCCUAUAGUCCAACCGGCCUAAGGUUUGCUAGGUCCCCUAAGACUCAUCCCUAGGCUCUGAUACCAAAUUAAUCUGUCACGCCCCGGGACCCAGCGGAAGCCCGCCCGGCACGUGCCCAGACCCGCCAUACGUCUAAAACGCAUAAGGCGUCUAAAAACAACAAUAAUAAAAGCAAUAAUAAAAGACAUCUAGGCGUAUCAGAGUAUAAUAAAUGUCUAAAUACUACAGCAAGGAAUAAGGAUAAAACUGUAAAUCCAUUAAAUGAAACAUAAAGUGAUACAAGGAAAACCCAGAUACAAGUGCUAUAGGUAGAUACACAGGUGGUCUCUAUACCUGGAUACAAAAAUCUCUCACUCUCUCAACUACAAAAAGAAAGAGUAAACCAUCUAGGCAAAGUACCGCUCCUCGCUAGCUAGCUAAGCGAUCCCCUUGCCGCGAUCCCGUGCCUCCGCCGGUGCCGAAGGCUCUGAAAAGUAAACUACAAAACGAGGGCAUGAGAACUAUUAAAAAUAGUUCCCAGUGGGCAAUUACUGACUUCAGUGAAUGCACCACAAGGCUCAAAGCUACAAAAGAUGUCAGUGACUAUAAAAGUAGAAAGGCGACAGGUAAGUAAAAAUGUAACCUACUACGACAUGAUAUCUCUACUUAGCAUAAAUAGCAUAAGUAUGAAAGCAACUAUGCAUGAAGUAAAUGUCUCCAACUAUCAUGGUGUUCACAAUGUGAAAUAGUAAAAUUUCGUUGUUUACUAUUUUAAUCAAUGUCCAAGUAGUACACUAAGUCAUCAUCUGUCCACAUGUCAUAAUGGAUAUAUAAAGUCCAAUCUGAAGAGACCCACCCGAAGGCUGCCUAUGGCCCUGAGACCCACCCGUAGGCUGUCUGGCCGGUGCCGAGCCUAAUGGCCCCGUGGUAGUCAUCAUCCCCACCCUAGGAAUGAGCCUGUCCCACGGCAAUCCACUUCGGUGCCCAAUCCCGCACGACGAAUAUGAAUCGCGAUGGCCAUCUCCGGAGUGCCGGCUUGUAGGGAGCGACCCUCACAAGCAUGUGCGAAUGAGCACAAUGAUAAGUAGUCAAACGAUCUGUCGCAAGUACCAAGUCCUCAUUUCUAAUAACAUGGAAUGUGUCAAGUAUCUCAAUGGCCUAUCCCUAUGUCAUCAUGUCUCUAACAUGGAAUAUAGCAGAUAUGUAGUGGCCUAUCAAUAUGUCUCUAUAUUGCAGUUUCAUAGUUUACUAGUUUCAAGUGCCCCUUUAUGACACUCUUGCUCUCUAUGUCAAAACAUGGCAACUAUGUUCCAAGGUAUAUAUUCCAAGUCAUAAUCCUCAUAAGAGAUGUAUUUUUCACUUGCAAAAUAAACACUUUUUCCGUAUGCAUGCAUUCUACUCAUAUAGCUCUACUAUAUAGUGAAAUUUUCAUAAUACACAAGGCAUGCAUUUUAAGUGCUCUAAAAUUCAUAUAAAUCCCAUUUAGUAUAGAAAUGAACUUAAAAAUAAUUUACAACAAGUAGAAAGAGCAUAGGGGCCAUUUCGCCCCAUUUCCACGAAGCCAAACCCACCGAUGACAACGAAACUCCUUGUGCGCUCCCACGAGGGUAUCCUCUAGUCUCCUAGUACCCUAGAGGUAUAGAAACAUAUGUCAAACGGGGCAAACGAACAAAACUUAGCUUAAUCAUUAAGCUAAUCAAGCAUAGGUGAGAAAAACUCACCUCUAGUGCAAAAAUCUCCUCUAAAGCUCCAAAAUGAAGCUAGGACUCAUCGAAUCCAACCUAAUGGAAGCCUCUAAUCCACUCAAUCUAGCUUCAAAAGCCCUAGAUUCAAAAUACCCAAAAUAAACCCUAAUAUCACAAUCUAGGGUUUCAUCUCAUGAAAUCCAAUAAAACUCAAAUCUAGAGGAAGAUA
rnacentral:lncRNA from 1 species